rnacentral:lncRNA from 1 species
CCCACACCAUAUGAAAUGAUUCAACCCGCACUCUCAUAUUAGCAAUCUGCUAGGCCGGGUCUAAAGCAGCGACUCAAAAUAUUUAACUCCAAGUUAAUUACUUGUACUAUCAGGCAGUGUUUGGUUAGGAGAUUGUGAUAGGGAUAGGCCCAUAUUCUCUCCUUUAUAUCUAAACGCUAAUUUUUUAUUCGAGAAUAGUAGUUCUCGGUUAUUCCCACCAACACCUUCAUUUUCUAUAUAAAACUAUCUAAUAUUUUUCUUAUCACCGGAAACAACCUAAUUUUCAUCUAAAUACUAUUUUUCUUAUCCCCAUGCUUGUACCUAUCCCUGUAAUAGCUAGUUUUUACUUAUACUCGAACCAAACAAUACCUCAGAGUAUCAUUGUAGACAUCAUUGAUGAAUAGAUAAGUUAAAGGUGUCUAAUUAGGAGUAUAUGUAUUAUAUUUUUACUAUAUAUAUAGAGAGAGGGAGAGAGAGAGAAUUCAGCUACUAUACUAUCGAUAGUAACAAGUUCUUGGUACUCAACCCUAGAGGACCACUAUAUAUAUAUAUAUAAUGUGGUAGGCCACUUUGGUAAGAGAUCACCACACGUAAUACUAGGGUUGGCUCCCAUCCGUUUCAAAAUAUCUGUACACAUCUCUCAGCAUCAAUAGGCUUUUCAUAGGCUUUACACACACCCCUUUUAGUUUUCUUUUUAAAAAGGUACGUUCACACCUUUUGAACUGGAAACGAGUAAGUCGAAUGCAUACACAAGCUAUUGCACUAACAAAGCUAGCUAGCUAGGAACUGCAUGAAAAGUAUGCACCAAAGUAGACGCAUACAUAUCAUGUAUAUAUGUUCUCAAUCUUCAUCUAAUUUUUUGUUUAUUACCUAAUUAUAUAUGGCGAAAAAGAGAAUAGUUUUUUUUAAGAAAAAAAUUACUACAAAUUGUUGCUCGACAUGAUCACAACAUUCCUAUUCACUGGAUUACCAUUUAUGACACAUCCUAAACGAGUCAUUUGGUCCACUCUGUUUAGUGUUCUGCAAUAGUUUUCGACUGUAUAUAAUUGAAUUUUAUUUUCACGGAUUCAAAUAACUUAUAUAGUUUACGGGCAGUUUAUAGCCGUUGACUUUUAAAUGUAACCAUAUUUAAGCUCCACUUGGAGAGUACUACAAUAGUUUAUGGAGGAGACAUGCAUUAAGUUACUACUCAAAGCUCACUACUUCAAAUAUUAUAGUGUUUGUUCUUUUUAAAUAAGAAAAAAAAAUCCAAAUAGUACUUAAUUGCUACGAUAAAGCAAAUAACGUCAGGGGUGACAUAAUUCAAAUUAAUUUUCUAUUAAUAACAACCAGUUUGCACAAGAAAAUUGUAUUUGUUGCAUAUAUCUUUUUGGGCACGAUGCUGUAGUGAUUCAUGCAUGCAUUUGUUUUGAGUUCUUCCUAUAAAUAAUGUUCAUCCUUUCACGUCGCAAUAUUACGUCAAUAAGUAUGUGAAAAAAUCAUUAAAAAUUAUGUGAACGAAUUUAUACAUGAAACUGAAAUUAAUUAAACCAUGUCCUCAAAGCCAUGGAUUUUGCUUGUUUACUAAUUGAUGGAGUUGAAAUUUAUAGAUAUUGUUCAUUCAUACCAAUUAAUGGAAUGAAAAAAUUUAUUUACUUUUGCCUCAUAAACUCUUACCGACCUACCAUAGUCUCUCUAUUAAAUGUUUCUUAACAGGUACCAUAAGAGCACUUGUUACUUGUUAGAAAAAAAAACAUUUAAGUUAUAACAAGCAAUUCACAUCUAUGAAAAUAAGAAUUGCGAAUUCAAAAUCGAUGGUAUUUAUUUUCUUUGUUAGAUGUGUAACCAUCGAUCAUAGAUGGUUCCGAUGAUCAUCGCCUUACGUCAUUUAGCAUGCGCUUAUAAUAAAUUUGUUCACACCGUAUAUAACACUACUACACCAACUAGCACAAGCUAGUAAGCAUUAAGAAAAUGUUUUAAUUAACUUAAUUGAGUUAGGUGUUCCCUGAUCCAUAGUGCUUAAUUACUUAAGGACUUAGAUAACAGCUAGUAGUUUUCGCAAGUUAUAGCCUAAUUCAGAAAAUACUCUUCCACUAAAAUUAGGAGACUUUGGAUAAUUAAAUGAACAAAAGAUUUUUCUUUCUUUUUUUUAAGGGGAGAAAAUGACCGAAAAUAUAAAAAAAAUUAGAAUUUAGGGGUGCUAAUUACAUGGUUUGCAAUAGUGGUCCAUUCUUAGAGGAAAUUAGAACUCAGCCAAAUUAAAGUAAUCAAAUGUUCAAAACAACUUUUGAAAAAAUAAAAGUUAAUUAUUAGUGCUAAAAAGGAAACCAACAGGAUCAUCAUUUUUGUGUCAUUUCCCUUUGUCUUUUCUAAAUAUCUCUAUUUCUGAAGCAAAAGUCCAACUACUUUUGGUGUGAUAGAAAGCCAAAAAUAUUUUUAAUAAAAUCUUUUGUGAGAUAUUUCCUAGCAACACGCAUUCUUUUCUACCGUCGAAUAACAUCGAUGACGCUCUAGAUUUGAAAAAGCACUAUCUUAUGGUAGGAGAAGAUGCAUCGAAGACUCAAAACUUGUUUGAUACAUAAACCUUUUUACCUUUUACUUUUUAGGAAAAGGAAAAGAUAUUCUUUGCCCUUUUUAUUCCGUAGGAACAAGUAUAAAAUGCCUCAUCUCAACAAGGAAGAUAUAGUGGAUAAGCAUUAAAGUCAAAAGAUUGAGUAGUUACAUGGCAAAGUCACAAACUACAACGUGCUAAAACUGCACCAAGAGGGGGUUUAAUUACAAGUUAGGUGUGGGAAGCUACUUGAAGAAGUCCAAACAAUUAAAGGAUCGUGGAGGGAGUUAUACUUAGCUUGCACACAUCCUGUUGUACUUCUCAAUCAUCAUUCAUCAUCAUCAUCAACUCAUCACCCAUUCAUCAUUAUCAACUCAAUCAAUUGCUUACUUGGUUUUGUUGCUUGAGGGGUAAGAACUGCUUACUCACUGUCCUUCCCCCCCAAAAGUGCUUUUCGCAAUCAAUCACAGUGAAAGAGACCGCAGUUUUGAGUAACUGGAGGAAUGUAUGCGUUCCAGGGGGUACUUUAGUGAAUUAGUAGUAGUUUAUGUUUUGCCGCCACGUGGAGCUCGUGCCGACGACUUUUUCCUUUUUUUUUUUUCCAAAUUUUAUGUGCAUAAUGUUUUUUAGGCCAUCGUUUGGUUCGGAGUUAAGAAAAAAUAGCUAUUCCAGAAAUAUGAAUAAGUUCAGAGUUAAAAUGGUGUUAAAAUUUUUUUGUGUUUGGUUGGAGGUUGGAGUUAGUCUAGGAUAGUGAAAAAAAGUGUUUGGUUGGAGUAGAUGGGAUAAGAAGAUAAUGAUUGAUAAAGAAGAAAAAGGUGAGGGAUCGGAAUGCGUGCGGGGUUAAAGUUGGGAGGGGAGUGGGGUUAAUGAUUGAUAAAGAAGAAAAAGGUGAGGGCUCGAAAUGUGUGCGGGGUUAAAAUUGGGAGGGGGAGUGGGGUUAGUAAACCCCACUAACCUGGUUUGGGGUGGGGUUUACUAACCCCACCCCUUAAGAGUGGUGUUUGGGUAUAAAUUGGGGGUUAAGGGGUUAUUCCACCCCUUAACCCCCAACUAAACGGUGGCUAGCUGAAUAGUUAUUUUAUGUAAGAAUGAAAUCAAGUCAAUUUUACUGUAAAAAAUCAAAAUGUAAAUGUCACAUCAAUGUCUAUAACUGUUGUAAGUAAGUAGAAGUUAUGAUAAAAAGAUAGAUUUGACUGCAAAGAUAACAUAUACUUGAUUGACUUGUUAUUGACUUUUUGAUAAAAUAAUUAUUACGGUAAUUGGUUUUUGAACUCUUUUUGGAGAAUUUCUAUUUGGAUCCCAUGUAAUAAAGCAGUAAGUAAUUAAAAAUUUUCUGCUCAAUGGAGAUACAAAAAAUUUGAUCAUAUGUUCCUUCAGCCAAUUUCUCUAAUACCGGAGCGUAAGAUAAUAUUGAAAUUUUGGGUAAAUUACACAAAUAGUUCGAACUCUUUUCUGAUUUUUUAACUGAGUCUCCAAUUUAUUGUUUUGUCGGUCAAAUUUUCAAAAUGCAGAAGUUUUUUCAAUUGGUUUUCUAUCGUGAAUCUUCCGUUAUAAUUGAUGGAAGAUGACAUAUAAUUAAUGUGACAUAUAAUGUGAGCACUGACUCGACACUACGUUGUCAUAGUUUUUUGAGUUAGUAACACAACUGUUACCCAAACUUUUUACGACUUUUCAAUUGGGUCUCUAAUUAUUUCUUUUGUCGAUCGAGUCCUCAACCUUUUUUCAAUUUUACUAACUACAACAGUCACUACAAUAAAAACGGUCUAUAGCGACACUUUUAAAUAUAGGUACAUGUCAAAAAAGUGCUGUUAACUAAAAUUACCGACACUUUUAAAAAGUGUUGCUAUAUGUAGGGUCGCUAGGUAUAUAGUGACAGUUAAAGAGUGUCGCUAUAACCUAAAAAAAUGCUGCUAAUUUACCAACACUUAUUUAAGCAUUUAGCAACUGCCGAAACUCUAUCUCGUUAGCUGCGGUGGCGGAGGAGGACGACAGGAAUGGCUCUUCGUCUAGAAUUUCAGUGGAUUGAGUGAAGAGAGAAGAAAAUAUGCUAAUUGAUUUUUCUUUUUUUUUUCUUUUCUAUUUGUAAUCGGGCCAAAUGGACUGGAUGUGGUGGGUUGAGUAGAGAAAUCUUUUAUUUUUGGUUGGAUUGGAGUUUAUAUUUAGGCAUUAGUAGAUGUUUUUUUAAGUUUUAGCAUAAAUGGGACACUUACUCAAAAGUGUCCCAAACAUGUGUACCUAUAACCUAAUUCUGUUGUAGUGAGUACCAUUCUCUAGGCUUCGUUUGGUUCGGAUAUAAGUAAGAACUGUCUAUUUCAGAGAUAAGCUUUGUUUGGUUCAGAUAUAUGCAAGAAUUGUCUAUUCCAGAAAUAUGUAUAAUUAAGUUUGGUUAUAAGUUUGGAAUAGACCAAUUGUAUGUUUGGAUGAAAAUUGAAUUGUUUCCGGGAAUAAGAAAAAUAGCUUUUAGAUAGAUAAAAUAGAAUAAAAAGAAUAGUGAGUAAUUAUAAAUAGAAAAUAAUGAUAUUGCCCCUUAUAUUAUAUUUAAAUUUAAAUUUUUAAAAUUUAAAUUUUAAAUUUUAAUAUAUAACUUUUAAAAUUGAAAAAAUAAAAAAAUUAAAUUGAAAAUUUUAAAUCUCAAAUUUAAAAAUUUAAAGUUUUAAAAUUUAAAUUUAAGAUCAAAUUUAAAUUUAAAAAUAUAAAAUUUUAAAUUUUAAAUUUAAAAAAUUUAAAAUAAUAAUUUAAAAUUAUAAAUAUUAAUUUUAAAAUUACAAUUUAGAAUUUUUUUAAUUUAAAUUUAAAUUUUAAAUUUAAAAAUUAAAUUUGAGUAAGAUUAGUUAAUCCCACCCUAAUUCCAAUGUAGGGGGCGGGGAUUGUUCCCUACUCCUAACGGGUUAAAUAACCAUGUUAAGGGUACCGUGGGAUUAACAAUUCCCACCCCAGAAAUUGUGUUUGGGGAUAAAGAGUGUUUGGGGAUAAAGGGGGAUAAUACCUUAUCCGCCGCCCCCCAAACCAAACGCAAGUGUCAAACUCAAACAAUGUAAGCAUAUUUUUGUCCCAUGUAUUGAUCUUGGCAAGUUUCCCAACUGAGGAAUAUUAUGAUUUAUGACUUUAGGUUUCAAAAAAAAGAAAAGAAGAGAAAAAAAGGGAACAUUAUGACUUCAUGAAACAAGAGAAUUAGAGAGACACUUAACUAUCAUGUAAAUUACAUGCAUCAUUUUAUAACUAUGUAUCUCCAUGGUAUAUAUACAUGUUUUGUUGCCUGAAUUCAUGAAUAGCUUUUCUACUCUGAACAGCAGUUUACAGAAAUUUGAGGAACAAACAUUGAAGUUCUCAAAAAGUUGAAAUGAAUACGUUGCUUUUGUUUACCAUAAAACUUUUUGCUUUGUCUUCGCCCAUGAAUGGUUGAAUACUAAAGUUAUACUACAUGUCUUUUUUUUCUUUUUUUCUUUUCCCUCUAUUCUCACUGCUCCAUCGUACUCGACAAAUUAGGAACUUUUAUUCUUUGUCGCAACUUAGUGAAGAGUUAUUUGAGAAUUUUAUUUCUAGUUAUUGUUAUUUCUAGUAACUCCAUUUGAAAAUUAAGUAGAUUUUUCGUAGUAGUAAACCUUUCUUGCAUCCCAUGUGCUAGCUAGUGAGGGUCACUUUUAAUUCAAAGCAGUUCACAAUUUGAGUUUGGAUUCAAAAAGCUAUGGAGAGAGUACUACCAAAUUCUAAACCCAAAAUAGAGGCUAAAAGUUUUUAUAUGAUCACCUCUACACACAAAACCAGGUCUAAUAAUCUGUAUGAACGGAGCUGAUUUUGUUGGAAUUUUGAUUUGACUUGGUUGGUUGGUUCAUCCGUUGAAUCCAAAUUUUAAUAAAGACCUCUUUUGAAAACUUAAAAAAAAAAAGGAAUUUGGCUAUAACAAAACUUAAUUUUUGCUUUAGUUAUCUAAAAAUACUUUUAAUGCUAGAAAAAGCAACUUAAAAUUUAAAAAAGCCAGAAAAAUUUCAAGGUGUAAUAAUACUAAAGUAGUUGGCAUCUAAAUUUUUUUUUUUUAAAAAAAAAAAAAACUAAAAUCCAGUGACUUUGGUAGAUUUAUAAGUAAAUGGAUUUAAACAACUCAACCACCAGUUUAGUUGCGAAGCUUCUUCAUCACACACCAAGUCAAAGAAAAAAAGGUACAAAAAUUAUUUUUAAUUACUAAGAAGUUAAAAACAACCAUGUGCUUAGCCUUAGCCAUUGAAAUUGACUACGUAUAUGCUGAAACUUCCUAUUCAAAUGAAUUCUCUCGUGCUUCCAAAAGCAUCUCUAAUGCAUUAAUUUGUUAGUUUACUUUUAUUAUUUUUCGUUAAAAAGGUCAUUGAUGACAUCAAAAUACAUGAUGAGAUAAUGGCGUGUGAAAUGGGUCUUAAACUCUUCAAAGUCCUAAAUUGUAAGUCAUGGUCUUUCUUUUACUCUUCUAGAAACACGAGUAGCUAAUUUUUAAAUUGAUAGAGAGAAAAAAAGCCUUUUCCACAAGUUUUUUUUCGUAGAGAGAAUUUUGGUUGACAUUGAGGGCUUGUUUGAUUCAAGGGUGAAAUUAGAAUGGAUAAUGGAAUUGAAAUGAAUUAGAAUGGUAAUUAGAUUGGCCCACUCCCCCAAAACGUUUGGCUCAUUUGUGGAUUGGAAAUUGAAAUGAGUUAUUCCUAUUUCAUUGUUUAGUUCAUAUAAACUAAAAAAUUAUAGGAUACCAUAAUAAUAAUAAUUUAACUCUCAAAUAUAAUUUUAUAUUAUUUAAAAUUUAUGAAAAACAUAAUACUAUUCUCUAAUGAGUUUUCCAAAAAAAAAAAUUCAGAUUUAUUUUUAAAAAUUUUUAUGCAAGAAAAAAAAUUAUAAAAAAUUAUAGGAUAGGUUUUUUUUAGGGGUAAGAGGGGUGAGGGAUAGGGUUUUUUUUUUUUUUGAUGAGAGAGGGGUGAGAGAUCGUAUACAGAGAGAGGAGGGUGAGAUGGUCUCAUGGGCUUCGGGAAUGAAAUCUCAAUCCGGGCGGGGAGACCGGAAUCAAGUUAAAGGCUGAUGGGCCAUUCCCAUUUCAGUCCGGAAUAGAAAUCCCAAACCGAUUCCUGCGAACCAAAAUAAAAUUAAUCGGAUUUGAUCAAACCGAUUUCCAUUCCAUAUUCAAAAUGGAUGAAUUUUGCCGUGGAUUCGGACCAAACAAGCCCUGAGUUCAGAUUUGAUUUGUUUCGAGCUUCUAAGUUUCGAAUUUUGCCGUGGAUUCGGACCCGAAACAAACCCAAUUUUCUAAUGAUUGGGCCAAACCAGGCCUUUUUGGGCCCAAAUUAAGGGUUGGAAUUUGCAUGCUAAUGUGAAUGAGGGUGUAAGCAUUUAUGAGUCUACUAAGGAACUCCGUUCAAGUCCGAGUGGCCAUUUAGGAGACAAUUACCCCAUGAAAGCCAUCUAGAUGUGAAAGUUCCCAGUAAGGAAUAAUUAAAGAAAGAAAGAAAACCAUUAAAACAAAACAAGAUGCGUAAGAUUCUACAAAAGUGCUACUUAGAAAAAAAAACAGUUCAAAAAAUCCAAAAUCUUUCAAUUAGCUUAACAUAUUUUGGCCAAAAUUAGAAGUAUAAAACUCUAAAUUGAAGCAAUUGUGAACAAUGGGGCUUAGCUCAGCUACAGUUAGCCAUUAUACAAACUCACAUAUAGCCCUUGUUUGGAAAACCGAAUAAGAAUUAUACCGAUCUUACGAUUUAGAGUAAUAAGAUAUGACAGUGCAUUUCCCUCUCCAUGAAGCAAAAACCUUGUUUAUACUUCCACUACAAUUUACUUUCACCAAAUCUAAAAUCUAUAUUGAGAAAAAUGAAAAUGAGUGCAAAGAAGCGGAGUAUCCAUAUCUAAGUCGGCAAAUUUUCGUUCAAGUACCGAGAUACCGCAUCUCUCAGUGUAACUCCAUUCUUAUCCGCCGAAUCGCAAAACUGUUGGUUAUAACUCACAUCAUGGUGUUGCGAUAAUGGCACUUCGUCCUUCGCUUUAUCCUCGAUGUCUAUUAUUAUAUUAUGCAGCAAACAGCAAACAAGAAUUAUUCUCGGCAAUCGGUGCUUAUCGGGCCGCCACAUCUCCCCCUGAAGGAACUUCCACAUUUCUUUGAAUCUUGCCAAGGCUUUUCGAGCCACCAUUCCUGUCGCCUUAAGCCGCUCAUUGAAACCGUGUUUGGCUUCUGACGUAAGCUCUCUCCCUCUGUAGGGAGUCAGAAGCCAAGGAAGAAGUGGGUACCCUUCAUCUCCAGCAAUGUACUCUCUUACUUCAGCUCCUGAGAUUUCCAUGCCUUUUCCGUUAAGCCUCAUACCUUUUUCACAUAGUUUAUAAAAGCCCGAGCUUUUUAAAACCACCGGCUUAUUCAUGCUGCCAGGCCAGCCGGUCACUACAUCUCUGAACCUCAUGGAGGGGUCCACAACGGCUUGCAAAAUCAUACUGUGGUUCUUUUCGUAAUCGAGCCACACUUUGCUAUUGGGUUCUGCCGAAGGCAAGCACAUUACAAUGUGCGUGGUGUCAAUGGCUCCGCAGCAGUUUGGGAGGCCGCGGAUUUUUUCGAAUUCGGAUUUUAUGUUUUCCAUUUCUUGAACAUUGGGCCACUUGAGGUGGUGGAGACCGCGCUGCUCCAUGGAUUCGAUGAACCGCCAGGUUAGUUGUGAGACGGUCGAGUGGUUCAAACCGAAUGAUGAGCCGACAUUGACCAGCGAUGAACCUGAGCUUAGCCUUGUUAGGGCAACGGCUACUUGGUCGCUUAUUGAGAGGGGCUUGCCAUCGCCGAAGGUAAAGUGUGAUGUUUUUGCGAUUAAGUCCUCCUUUACUAGUGAGCAUAUGUAGUCAAAUGUCUUUCUUGAGAAUCUGAAGAGACACUCAAAGUGUUGCUUGUCCUUUGAUGAAAAUAAGGGUCCUAGGCAUACAAGAGAGAUAAGAGAUUUAGUAUUCAAAUAUAGAUGGCAAUCAUGUGUAGAAGAACUACACUGAAGUUAGGAAAGUGACAUUAACUAAAAGAGAAAAAGGUAUGAUUCUUUGUCAUUCUAGAAGCUGAUGGCUAGUGCCUACACUGAACUGCUAUGAAGACAAAGUGGAUGGUUUGGAUCCCUAAUUUGCAUCUAUAGUGAUUUCAUGGUUAGAUAAUCAGAAAAAUGAAUUCAUGGUUUGACAUAUUCAACGUGAAGUGUUCGUUUCAAGAUAUUCUUCACAGAAAGCUUGUGAAAUUGUUAUCAGUGACUACUGCACAGAAACAAUGUACACCAUAUAUAGGUCAUUUUUUACUGCUUUUUUUUUGAGAAAAAUCAUUUUUUACUGCUAAAGAUAGAAAUAUAGGACCUACUUCGAAAUAAUUGUACAUUCAAUCACCUCUCACCUUGCAUUUUGUUGCAUAGAAACAGUGUCCUUACAAUGUAUGCAAGUAUUUCAGAUUAGAAAAAAGGAAACGGAAAAUAGUCAUAUUAGUAAGAGAGACUUCAUUUUCUCUUUCUGAAUACAAAAAUAAGCAGCAGCUGGAUAAGGGCUUGAUGGUUGGUACUCGAGAUCACACGUUUGGAGCCUAUUUAUUUUACAUUUCUAGCUGAGCUCAUUUCUAGAAAAAUGAACGAAGCGGAUAACAUACUAUCUUUCUCCCAAAAAAAAUAUAGUAACAUAAAAUAAAAAUAAGCAGCAUAACAAGUUGUAUUGAUAGUUUCAGAAAGGAGAACUAAAGAUGUCAAAAUGAGGGCCCAGAAUAAGUUGGUCACAACCCAAGGACAUUACGGUCCUUGGGUUUCAUAGAAUGCUACCGGGAAAGAUCAAGGGAAAAGUUAAAGCAAUCAAACUUGGGAUUCUUUCACAGGAGGUGUUUUCAACUGCAUUACAGAUUCAACUGCAUGAGAGCCCAAAAAGCUUCUUUGGCACAUUGCAAUUUUAUCCAGAGAGAGCGGUUGGCAUUAUAGAUAAGGCCUAGCUGUUGCGUCUCUACCUAUGCGCAAGUUGAAUGCAGGUGAAAAUACAAUAGUUAAGGAGAGCCAUCCUACAUGGGGAAUAAUCACCACCAGCCCACCUAUCAAAAAACAAGGAAAAAUUUAUCUACAUUGGAGAUAAUCUCAUCACCUUAUGUAUAACAUGACAAUGUCUAUAGAUACAUUGGAGAUAAUCUCAUCGCCCAACGUAUAACAUGACAAGAUUUAUAGAUGCAACUUCCGCCUGCAUCCACCCAAAUAGAAAAAUUAUAGCUGCGCCAGUCUCAACUAUAUAUAACCAAGCCUAGAGGGUGUAAUUGUAACUGCUGCAUGUCCAAUAUUAUGCAUCUCUAAUUAGACAACAUUUAUAAUUAUAUCUAACCGAACAACCCCUUGGUGAUGGUAUGAACAUUCAGGCGGUAGAGAUACCCCACGAUCCAAUAUCUGUGCUGGAAAACAAUAUCGUAUAAUAACAAGCAUAAUCUUGUUUAACUCCUAGAAUGCCAUCAUAUUUUCUACAUGUUGCCUUAUGACUACACAAGUACAAUUAUAAUAUGCGAAUGUUUACUCUUGUAGGUUCUGAUUUUAACUUACAGUCAGAACCUAUAAUAAGUGAUACUGGCUUCCAUUCGUCAGUCAACUUUGCCGUCAUCUCAGGGAUUUCUUUUUUUUAUUUAAAUCAUUGCAAUUUUUUACAGUGGGCAAGAAGAAACACUUACGUAAUCAGAUCAGCAAAAUAUGCAAUUGCAUUUCAGCUGUUUUAUAGUAAGUCAAUUGUCUACCAAAUUAACUUCUACUCUAAAUGUGUGUUUGGCUUGGUUGGAGUUAUGUAGUUUGAGUAGGGCUGUUAUAAAAAACACAAAAGAAUUUUUCAUUGGAAAUUUCUCCAAUUGCUUAUUUAACUUUCCACCACGGAAGAUUUUUAUAUUCUGUUUGCCAAAGGGUUGGCUACUAUUUAUUUACAUAGAGAAGCCAUUCUUACUGAUCCCUAAGAGUCCACCUAUAAGGUCAUAGAUAUCUCCAAGUGCACACCUAAAAAGUGAAAACUUUAUCUACAUGAACAAUCAACACUUAACCUUUUGACUCAAUUAUCCUUGUGACUAGUGGUGAAACAAAAUUUCUAUUUGACUAAGAUUGGAAGACAUUCACUUCGUCCUUAAGAAGGCAAUUUGGUUCACCAAAAUAGAGACCAAGAACAACUAGGAGUACUACUAUGAAGGUUCAAUAUGGGCUUACUUAGCUUGAAAUAGCAGUUUGAUGAUGUCAAAAAUGGAAUAAUCAAUUACAAAAGGCUGCAAAACCACCAUGGAACAAGCGCUUUGAGAUCUAGUUUGACUGGAACAAAGCUAUGGAGUAACUAAUCGUAGAUGAAGUGAUACUCUUAUUCUAGUGUUCCCUAUCUGGCUAAUCUUUUUUACUUAAAAAAUUAUAUAUAUAUUCUCUUAUUGCAGGCAGAAGUGUGCUAGCUAGUGUUUCCUGACUAGAUAAAAGCAUAAUAGUUUCAGAUGUUCUGUAGUGAGAUAUGACAUUACACAUCAUAUACAGAGGAUCAAUCAACAAAAUCACCAUAUCAGCCAACUUUAAUAUAAGAAGAAAUUUACAACUUUGACAUGGAAGGAAAGAGAUCAUAUUGAAUCAUCGCUGACUAAUACUAGAGAGCAUUCAAAGAGCCUUAUCCAUUUGGACAUUGUUAAACCAUUCUUAUGGCAAAAAAUGAAAAGGAACUGCUUUACAUUAAAAUGUAGGAUAAAAAAUGGGGCUUGUUGUCAGUUUUUACAACUUAAAUUGAGCCAUAUAAGAGAAUAAGCAGAAUAAGCAGUCUGUUGAUCAAGUUGUCUGCUUUUACUAUGAUAAAUUAAAGAGCAAAGACCAUCAGAGUUUAAGCCAAGAAUUCAAUAAACCAAAUAUAAACAAAGGUUCAAAAUAUUGCUUUUGGUUAUGGUUUCUGGUAUUCAGGCAAUGAGUGCUUUAAUUGCAGUCUUGGGUUUCGAUUCCCGAUUUCGUUAGAAGAUUCAAAUUUCCGCAAGGACCAAAAGAAAUAUAGAUAAUUGGGUCAGCGUAACAAACAUAUUUUCGCAGCAUUUUGAUAUGCUAAAGGGAUCAGUAAUGCCUCUCUUACUUAGUUACGGAGAACAUGGCUAACUUGCAUUCCGUUGUUUAUUAAAAUAUCAUGUAUGAAAAAAAUAUAAGAUAUCUACAAAUAGAUAAAGACCGGCAUGUGUAAGCUACUUUUGGCCAAUUAUGGCCUACAUACAAAAAAUAAAGCCCUCUUUAGAGUUACUUUCCUUUUAUUGAUUGAUAGACAACUCUUGACACCAAAAGGAGUUGGUUUUGGACUUUCAUUGCAUAAAUCACUGUUUCUAGAAGCAAUGGCAAAUGAAUUGAGACGAUCAUAAUGAUAUCAUCAGCAAAAGAAGUAAAAAAUUGUAAUGCUAGAAAAGAACCACUGUAAGUGUUUUAUUAUGAAAAGAAAACAGAUCCCUCCAUCAAUUGGAAGUAAAUAAAAGCUAAUGGUGGCUUCUCUAGGAAUACAUUGCUUCUGGGGAGAGUCAAAAAAAAUACCUACAUGUUAUCUAUUUGUACUUAAGAAUUCCCUGGAGCAUAAGAGCUACUCUAAAGAAACCGAAUUAAUCCUAAAUAGUAUCCACCAAUCUAUGUCAUCUAUAAGUGUUUUCCAUUUUCAACCUGACAAUUUAUUGCUGAUAAAAAAGAUACAGAUUGAGACUCGAAUUCUUUUUAUACCCGAAAUUUUUUGGAAAGAUCAGCAUAUUCAAUACAUUAAGUAAACUCGCAGAAGUCUAUAGUGUUUAUAUAGACAAUGAGCAAACUGUUUAAAAUACAUCGUUACGUCAUCAUCAACUAGCAAUGUACUGAUCACCUGUUCAUACUACAUGAUUAUUGUAAACUUCAACACAUUUAUACGCCACAAACUACGAAACCCAAAUCAGAAAGGAAAAUAAAAUUCUUCUUCUUUUUACCUUUCUCUUCUCAUCAGUAAAGUCCAGUAAUAUAGGACAUUAUCACGCAAUCAAAUGCACAGACAAGGCAUUAUAAGCAAGGCAAAUUGUGGCGCGAAAUGUCCACAAGUUCACAGCUUUAAUUCGGAAAAAUGACAGGCGUCUCAAUUGACUGUAAUGCAACAAAAAUAGCGGAAACUAUCAGUUUGAAACAACUUACCGUUCACCGUAAAGACCUUAGAAACCCUAUAAGUAGAUGUGAUUGGCCAUCUCAAACACACAAGUGACCCAAAACCUGCACUUUCCUAAUCUGCAUAGGAAUUAUGCCCUAGAUACCUCUCUUAAUCACUAAUACAUGAUCAGCUCCAAUUAAACGUUCUCAACAACAGAGAAGCACGAAUGGCGCACGUAAACACUGACCCCCUCCAUUCUAUAAAAGCGAUUUUGGCAAAACUAAGCUACAUUAAGUAAGGAUCCGAUUUUGAUAUAUAAAUUGGUAAUAGAAAAGGCAAAAUCGUAGACGGUAAUUUGUAUUCUAGUUCGCAGAUGUAAAACCAGUAUCAUUACGUUUCCUAACCAAUAAAUUGUAAUUAGUUUAAUUUCCGACUAGAAGCCUUUAUGAUAAUCAUUAUGCCCAAUCCAUCGUAUUUCCAACAUACACAAAGCAACACAAAUUACAUUCUCACAUGUAAACAAAUGUAAGAAGCUGCUUAUACCAACUAAUUCCAUUAACCCAGAGUAAACAGUAAUGAAACAGAAUCAUACAACUCUAGAGAGAGAACAUGAAUCACAAGAGAUGGAGAGAGAGAGAGAGAGAGAGACCUGUGAUCCUCUUCGAGAAGGAGUCCCACCAAUCACCACUCUCCGGGCCCGACGACAUCGGCGGGGCAUCGGCGGCGGCGGAGGCGAAGGCGCUUCUCCUCUCGGGCUUCUUCUCCGCCCUCUUCCUCUUCUUGGAGCCUCUCACAGGCCCCAUGAUCGCAGCUCCCACCACCAACAACGACAGGGAGAAGCAAAUGGCCCGAUUCAGAGCUCAAAGAGAGGAGAGAUCGAAGAACACGACCCGGGAACCACAAGGCGAAGAGGAGAACCACGGGACCCAAAAGUCCCCUGCUUGGAUUAGCAUGCGCGAGGAGAGGAGUGUGGUGAGAAGAGGCAUGCAAGAGUAUGCUCCCUGGGUAGAGAGAGAAAGAAGAAAGAGAGGGAGGGGAGGGGUUGGUAGAGAGAGAAUGUUGUAGUGAGGAGGAGAUAGAGAGGGAGAGAGAGAGAGAGAGAGAAUGCUUGUAGUAUUAUUAUGAGCAUGCAAGGAGGUGUUUUUUCAUGGAUGGAUUGUGGAUUUGAGAUGGCUACAAAGGGAGGAGAGAUGCAGCAAGAGAAGAGAGAGAGAGACAGAGAGAGAGAGAGAGAGAUAGAAAGAGAGAGAGAGUGUGUGUCUUUUAGGGGCAAUUUAGCAAAUAAAACGGAGUUUGUGUAUAAUGGGAGACUUAACUGUUCGGCCCUGCUGCACAGUACAGUAUUAUUUCAUAAAAUUUCAUAAAAAUUUAGUCUAAUUGUUAUUAUUAAAACUAGUUAUAAAAUACUUAAAACUUUAUAUUGGCCAACUAUCAUAUCACCGGACUACAAUAGUUAUGAGGACAGAUAUUCGAACCUCAGAGUGCACCAAAAUUUAAGAUUUGAGCCCCAGCUUUGAAUUUAGCAUAUAUUAAGGUUUAAGAAAGAGUAUAAAAAUGAUAAGAUUAAGAACAACUUCAAUAUAAAAAAGAAUAAUUAUUAUAAAUGAAAAAACAAAAAGCAAAAUAGAGUCAAAUAGAUUUUUUAAUAUUUUCCAUAAAAGUGUACAAAAACAAAAACAUCCUCUCAACAUGCAAUUAGCAUAAUGCCCCUAUUGAGACUCUUUUUUAUCUCAUUAUGCACAAUAUAUAUCAUUGAUUUGGGAUAAAACCUGAGUGGCGUACCAGCUAUGACAAAACUUUUUUUUUUGAAAAAUUAAAGAACUUGUAUUCUACUUUGGUUUAUAUUAUAUGAUAGCAUAGUUGGAUUACUGAGGGGAGAAGAUCUAGCUAAACCACCUUCAUGUUGAUAUAUGACAAUGAGUAGAUCAAUGUCUCUAUUUAUGGAUUUGUAUAUAAUUUUCUCUAUUUUCUUGAUGCUUUCUUGAAGAUCUAAAUUUUAUAAGAAUAUAUAGAUAUGAUCUAUCUUAGGUGACAGUAUAUAUUUUCCUUUUUGGUAAUUUAUGCCCUAAGUUGGUAAUUUUCAGAGAAUUGACCCCUUAAUGAUUCUUAUAUGUAGACUUGAGGAAUGUGGAAGGUGAGAUAAGUUGAACUAGUCCUUGCGUUGAACAAUGGGUCACAAUGUAUCAGUUUUGGAUUAUUAGUAGAUUAUUUUGCAUCUGAAUCAAUUUAGUUCAUCAAUUUUGACUUGAGUUUAAUUUCGUCUUAAAAGCUCCAAUUCCGCCAAUUCAGCCUCACAUGUUAUGGCCCUAAUAUUAAUUCGGAAAAAGUACGUCGAGCUUUUCUGAACUUUAGUACGAUUACGCUUUACCAUGUAAAUAUUAAAAAUGCUAAGAAAUUUACACAAGCACAGGAACUACACUGACAAAAUCAAAAUAUGAGAAUUUCGGCAUUAAAUACGCAAUUAAUCCUUCUAAUGUUUACAUGGUUAUCACAUGGGGACAUUGAUGAGAGUUUUCAAAGUAUUUCGCUGCAGAUCAUCACAAAUCAACUUUUGAUGCCGUUUAAUGUUAGAGAUGUAAAUAUACUCAAUGGAUCAACUAGCAAUUAAUCUGAAUCUAAUUAACCCAAAGCAUUGGGUCCAGCACCCUAAUAAGAGAUUCUAAGCUUAUCAAUUUGAGUUUGGAUUUUAAAUUUGAUUUAAUUUUUGCAUUGCAUUUGUCCAAAAGUUAAACCAUGUUAGAUUUGUAUCCAGGACAAGCCCACUGGGCCUCAUUUCGACCAGAGUUUUGGACGCACAAUUGGCUCAUUGGACUCUAGUUGGGCCUUCAUGUAUAAGCCUUAAAAAAUUCCAUUGCUGCCUCAGUUUAGACAAUAUUGUACAUUCCAAGGUUCUAUUUGUCUCCUUCAUGGAGAGUGUAGUAUUAUUUGAUAUAAUUAUCCUUUUUCUAGUGUUAUUAUUAUUAAAAAAAAGAGUGUUACUUCAAAUUCCAAUAUUCAGCGCCACGGCUCGAUUUGCUUAUCUCAAUGCCUUUAGAUGAAGGAGUUAUACGAGAAACUAUCUAACCUGUGUUAAAAAUAGGUUCUCGGGAGGGUCUUAAGGUGAGGGAACUGUAGCCAACUUCAAACAGUAAAAAAAUAAAAAAUAAAAAAUAAAAUUUGUACCAUCAUAGUAUAUAAAGAAGUUUUACAUCUUUUGUUUUUAAAAUUUGUCAACUUACAAGGGGUUUUUCGUAAAGUUACAAAUCCAAACCAAGUGGAACAUGCAUGUCACGUGCGAGCGGGUGGUAAUCAUCUUGGGCGGCUGUUUCGAAGUAGUUCAGCAACGGGGAUUUAAUGCAGGAGGGGGGAUUAAAGUCAUGGUCCAUCCACUGUACAAUCAGAUAUAUGAACGAAGAGUUAGCUGCCACGUGUCCCGAUAUUUCCGUAUCAGCCUAUCAACUGCUCGUCGAGUUCGUAUAUCCUGUGUUCUUGGGAAGCUAUUGCCUGGACCUGGUCCACCACGUAAUCUGUAGGCCGCGUCGUCAUUCGCGAACUAAUUAUCUUUGCCUUCAAAUUAUACCUUACUUUUUUUUCCCUAGUAAAUUGUAACUACCAACCAAUUAAAUACUUUAGUUAUCGUAUCAGAAAAAUAGUAUAAAAAUUGUAAGCUCGUAUAUCAUUACUUAGAGGAAUUUAUUUUUUUCGAAGGGUAAAAGUGGUGUAUGAUAGAUACUUUGCGCAGUCCAUGGUUGAUGUGGUGGACCAGGUUUAAGAGUACAAUUGGGCCCACUAAUGGGCCCUGCCGAACACAUAGGGUUGUCAUGGUUUUGGGCUUUUCUCUCUGCGGCUGAUGUGGAAAAAUAUAGGUAUUUAUAAUGGACAUUAAGAAUUAAAAAUAAAUCUCGUAUCUGUACUUUCAAUUCAGCAGUCGAAUUAACUUCAUCAGAAAUAAAUUUCUAAAUAAAGAAAAGGCUAUGACUUCUCCUUUAACUCGGACUUUUUUUUUGGGCUGGGGUUGGCCAAGUCAAUUUUCACUUGCUCUGAUACAUUUUCAGCGUAGUUAAUCAUAUUAUUUUAAUCCCAAUUCAUAUUCAAAAUAAAAUACUACUGGAUUUUUCCUGGAUGAAAUAAGUCGAAAGUGAGAUUAGUUGGGUCAGGGUGGAGCUGUGUCCAUUAUGUCCAAUUUGGAAUUAACAUAUAAACAGUGUAAAAAAUUUAGAUCGAGCAAGAACGUUACUGUUAGGGAAUGCUUUGCUAGUGAAGGAUGGAGUUGAAGGAAAAUGUUAAAGAGGAUUGAUUCAGCGAUUCUAGUUUGUAACACGGCAAUACAUGAACUAAAGCUUAAGCUUGUGGAGAAAAGCACCACAAACAACUAGACGAGAUCUUACGGCGAUGGAAUGAGGGGCACAAGUUCUCAGUCAAAUUCAUAUAUAGGAUGCUUUGCAACGGGAGUAUUAGAGAUGUUUUAUCACUUAAGAACUGGGGGCUGCAAAAUUUCAUUGAAAGUGAAGAUCUUUUUUAUAGUUAGCACUUAAGAAAAGAUUCGUCACAGUAGACAAUCUACUUAAGAGAGGGCGGAUAGGGACCAAGCUUGUGUACUCUCUGUUGACACUUGCCAGACAGUUCACCAUCUAUUUUUCAGAUGUGUGUAUAGUAGCUUUUUACUGGCCUCGAUAUUCGAGCGGUCUUGACGAUGUGUGGCUUCUUUGGGAGAAGUUGGUACGAAGAGGAAACUCUCUAACUUAUGGAUUGAACGUGUUCACGCUGACGGCAAUCUGGUGAACAAUUUGGCUAGAAAGAAACAAUAUAAUGUUUGCUCAAACCCUGUGACGAUCAUUGCGAGAAUCAAGAACCUUGCAAGAUUUUUUUUUUUUUUUUGGAGAAAAAAAUAGCAUGUUAUCUGUUUCAUUCAAAAGGAAAAUAAAUUUAGCUACAAAAUAUGGAGACAGCUAAGGCCUCAAUAAAUAAGAACGUGAAACACACGCGCGCACACACACGCACGCAAAAAAAAAAAAANAAAAAAAAAAAAGAAAAAGAAAAACUAGACACCUUGCAAGAUUUUGAAAAACAUUUUGUUGACCUUUAGUUUUUUAUUUUUAUUUUUAGAAAACUAGUUGUCAUAUAUCUAUAGCCAAGUUCAUUAUUAUCAAACAAUGAAGUUGGUAGCGUGUUACCUUAUUAUUUUUUUUUAAAAAAAAUCAGGCAAUAUAACUUUGGUGGUCCACAGCUGACGUGGCAGUCCUAUUUCACGUAAAAGUUUCUCCUUAACUACGCUCACCUUACACGUCAUUCUCCCAGUUUCUCCUUAACUACGCUCACCUUACACGUCAUUCUCCCGAGUCAACACCUAGAAGCCCAGGGGUAAGCAUCGUGACGAACUGCAUGGAGUCUAUCCAUAUUUUCUAUAUUUACGCGCGGCGCCGCGUGGGAAAAGAAAAAUCCCGUGCGCGGCACCGCACGACGGCACGAGCCACCCAAACGCCGUUUACGAACCUUCCGUCGCGAAUCUCCACGUAAAUCCAACGGUCAUAUCACAUCCCACGCGUCCGACUCGCGACCGUUCCCCUGUGUCCGCGUUUCCUCUGGUGCUAAGCAAUGACUCAUCCUCCGAAGGUCACGCGAAGCUCCACUGUGAAACCGAAAAAAAGUGCGCCCAAAUACCAACCGAGUUUCGUGUGGGCCCCACCGAAUAUUUCUUACGUGUCACUCUCUGAUUGGGCCUCGCCUUUUACUUGUUCUCCAAGUCGAGCUAGUUCGAUACCUAUAUAAAGGGAACACUUGCAUAGAGUGUGACACAAACACUGCAAGAUAUUGAGCUCUAAUGAAACCUUAUAACGACUUCAAAAUAGAAGAAGAAGAAGAAGAAGAGAAGAAGCAUAAAUAUAUGGAUACAAUGAAAACGGCGAAUCUCCUUCUAUCCCUUUCAUUGGGGUCGCAUGUGAUCGGAAAGCCGCGCAAUAAGACAAAGAGAUCGAGCACUGCAGCCGCCGCCGCCGACGGUGUCUUCGAGUGCAAGACCUGCAGCCGCCGCUUCGCGACGUUCCAGGCCCUCGGUGGCCACCGCACGAGCCACAACCGCGCUCGGUCCCGACCCGACGGUUUGAGCCUGAGCCCGCGAGACGCGUCCAAGGCGAGGGUCCAUGCGUGCGCGCUUUGCGGUGCCGGGUUUGCGAUGGGGCAGGCGCUCGGCGGGCACAUGCGCCGUCACCGGGCGACCGAAGUGGCAGAUCUUAUCGGAAAAAAUAGUGCUAUGGAGAAGGUUGUGAACUUGAAUGAGAGUUCUUUGGAGGCUGGUUGUAGCGGGGGCUCCGAGUAUCGCUUGUUGGAGUUGUUCGUGUAGUAAAAUCAUUAGCUAGUGUUUUAGUUUCUGCAUAUAUGAAACAUAGAGAUUUGUUGAUUCUUUCUUCGUGAUAUAUUUUCAGAUUUUGUUUUUUUAUAUGCAUUAUCUUUUAGUAUGGUUCACGGUGUAAGUAUUGAUCUCAUUAUAGAUGUUGAUUAAUAGUUAUGAGCUUUUUUUAAGAUUGGUGUGUGUAUAUAUAUAUAUAUAUAUAUAUAUAUAUAUAUAUAUAUAUAUAUNUAAAAGAAAUAGUUAAACCUGUCCAAAAAAUUGAAAGCUAGCUAAAUUAACUAAAUUAAUUAAUCAUAGAAGUAGAAAUAUUAUGUUUUGAAUUUCCUUUACCCAAUUGCAAUAUAUUCUAUAUUCAAAUCGAGCUCAAAAUCAGCCAUGUAUAGAAGGACGUACACUUUACUAAUUAUGAAUCUUGACGAUUUGUGUGUGUAUAUAUAUAUAUAUAUAUAUAUAUAUAUAUAUAUAUAUAUAUAUAUAUAUAUAUGUGAACACGUAUUUGAGUAUAGUAAUUAAAGUCAGCCUCUAGGCAUAAGCAUUACAGUAAUCAGAUUCAAUAAAUUUAUUUAAAUCAACUCUAUUAAGUAGUAAUAUCAGUUAUGUAAUUACAGUUGAUUCACAACAAACAAAUUAAUUAAUGUUGAACUCAAUCUUGAUAAUUCAUUAAACUUAACGCUAUUAUCGUAAUUUGUAUGAACUACAUGUGAAUUUCAUGCGCUUAUAUUAAAAGAGCGACGUUUGCAGUAGUUUUGAAUGAAAAUGUGAUUGGAUAUAUAAAAGAUUUAGACACUAGUAAUAAUAAUUGGAUUUAAGUAUUUUGAGUUGGUGUUUGGGCCUAACGAGUUAUUGUUGCUAGUGGGCUGGAUCGUUACAUUUGGUAUUAGAGCCGAUUCAUCAGCCAGAAAAUGUGUGGCAAGUUUCGGCUAAGUCAGGAUUUGAAAGACAAAAUAAUAGACGAUGUCGGAGUGUGAAUGACAAAAUGACUGGCUAUGUCUGGGUUUUGAUGAUAAGGCUAGCGAGACGAGUCUCACAUCGCUUGAUGAUCUUAGGCUGUUUGUGUGUUUGGACUGACGAAGACGUAAGGACCUAUGUGUGAUGGCUCUCGACUGAGUCAGAGUCUAAAAGAUAAGAUGAUAAGCGAUGUCGGAGUCUAAAUGACAAAAUGACCAACUAUGUAAAGGUCUGAAUGGCAAAACUAGUGAGACGAGUCUCACAUCGCACGAUGAUCUUGGGUUUAGGAUCUUAACGGAGGAGUCUGUCACAUCCCAAUAAUCUCACAUCGAACAGAAAUAAAAAUUUGAUUGGAUGUAUAAGAGAUUUAGACAUUAGUAAUAAUAAUGGGUUUAAACAUUUUAGGUCGGUGUCAGCCGGUCAACUUUCUUAUGUGAACAAAGAAGAUUUGGUGACUUGUAUUCGUGCCUGUACAUCACUUAAACACGCUUCCAGGUCAGUAGUGGCCUCCAACCGCUUUGUCUAAGUCGACAGUUAUGUGGAUGUUUCCUUACAAGUCUUAGGCUCUAAUUUAAGACCAUCUGAAAAGUGGGUGGCUUACGUACAGUUAUUUUUCUAAUAAAAAUAAAACUUUCGCAAAAUCUUGCUGCCUAAGCUAUUCAUCUCCAGAAAUUCGGAUGACAUAUCUUAGCUUUAAAUUUUAAUUUAUCACCCAAACUUUCAGAAUUGAUACUAUUAAGUUUCACCAUCUAAUUUAGAUUACUAAAUAUUGAUACAUCGUUGGCGUAAAAAUAAUGCAACAUUAUAAUUAUUGAGAUAGCAUCAAUUAACUCAUUUUUUGGUUAGCAGUACUUCAAUGAUUAGUCAAUUAAUUAAAUUAGAUUCUAAACACGCACUUUAUCCUAAUUUAAAUUCAAAUAUCAAAAUCUCUCAUUUUUUUAAGAAAAUGGUAACAUUCUACCGCUUGGUUAUUGUUUUCUAAAAUUAAAUUUAACUGAAAAUAUGAAGCAAGUAAGUUUGAAAUUUGAAAACUUGAAUAAUAAUUUUCAAAUUGCUUGCCACUUGCACUAGAAAUGGACGUUUGGUAUCAAAAUAUCUGUGCUUGAAAAAUUGUGGGUUGGUUCUUGGGUGAAGGUGUGGACCCGGUUCACCGAAUGAAAACAGUCGUCGGCCACCGCGGCGCGAACCGCGUAACGCAAUAUUUCUGCGGUGUGAAAACGCUGAACCCGCGGAAAAUGACCACGAAGCAAAUUAACCCAUCUACACGUUUGAAACCUUCUUGUGGGCUCACAUUACCCCGAUGUCACAUGUCUCGUCCUGAUUGGACAAAUUCUCCAACUUCCUCCCCAAAAGACUGGUCCACGAACAACGUGGCACGUCCUAAUUGGUGGAGUUCCCUUGCUUCCUUUCCAUGCAAAAAAAAGUCUAAAAUACACCAAUUAUAUUACUGAUAAUACGAUUAAUCUUUUUGGAUUCACUUUGUUCCAUCAUGGUUAUUAGAAUUUUUUUUUAUUAUAUUUUUCUCUCAAGUAGAGAAAUAUGAUUGAUUUGUUAUUGAUAAUAUAGUGUAAGUGUUACAUUGUAAGUUUUCUUAACUACAACAUGCAUGUAGUUAUUGAGAACUGAGGAACCAAAUACAAAUGUGCAUGUAUAUCAACCCCUUUCUUUUGAGUAAUAAUAAUAUGUUUAGAGCUCGAUUUGAAUCACAGGAUUCACAGCAGAGGAGAAAAGGAAGAGAAAAGAGCAGUUUGAAACAAACAUUCGUGAAUAUCGCUUGCUGGAGCAGUUUCUAUAGGAGUUUGAUGCGAUGCAAAUUCUUUUAUAAUUAAUUAGAUUUGUUGUUUUGAUCCUUCGUUUUGUCGCUCGAGUUCUAAAAGUUUGAUGUGAUAAAACAUGAACUCAAGGAAUAGAUAUAGAAACCGUGAAGUACAGCGUAAAAUCAGCUUUACUCUCGCGUUUUAUCUAUCUAUAUCUAUAUAUAAAAAAGCAAUUAAUAGGAUGAAAAAUGAUGUAGAGAAAAUCUCAGAACAGGGUGCAAGAAUUUAAUAACAAUUAUCAAAACAUGUUAAUUUGAUGAUGGAUGUAGAGCUACUAAAAUCAACAAAUUAAGGAAUAUAUAUAUAUAUAUAUAUAUAUAUAUAUACACAGCAUGAAAUAGAUUUCUCUCUCCGAUCUUCUUUUCGCGUUCCCUUUCAAUUUCUUAAAUAUCAUGAACGCAUCAACUGAUUCAGUAUAUGGAAUCUCAGAUAAUAAUAUUUCAGACAACAUUGUAAAACUGCGAAAAAACAUGAACUUAUAGAAUCUCACUGAAAUUCAAUUACGCAAGGCUAAAAGAAGCAUGCAUGAUGCAUCUGCUUCAUACAGAUAGUUAACUCAUCCAACAUUUCCAAUCUAGUUAGUAUUCGGUGUUGCGCUUUCACUCUCAAAUAGCUCAAAUUUUCUUUAUUGUUUCGCCUUUUCCUGUCAUUUAAAAAUUUUCAGCUACCUAGUGAAUCUCUCGCCCACAUUUGCGCUGCGCGCGAUGGGAAUGUACCCUUCUUUCGUCGUCCUCGGCUUUCGCGGCAUGCAUCCAGCAUCUGCACCCUCAGUUCCCUUACAAAACUCAAGUUUCACCCCACUGCUAUGCAGAAUUUUGUGAAGAAGUGGUCGGUUUGAUUAACUUAAACAACAAAAACAGAAAAAGAAUAGUUUCCGCGCCAACUCUUUAUUCGGAGUACUCCAUCAUCUUAUUCAUGCAAUUUUUGUCUCUCAUUUCUAAUCUCAUCUUCCUCAAGUGCGUUACUUUGAGAACAAACACACUGCAGGUUCAUCAAAAGUAAAUUGAACGGCGAAACAAAUGCCGAAAGAAACAGAGAGAGCUUGAACUUUACCUAUUGACAUUGCAAGACGAUGAUCUCUUCAACAGUGAGAGUUCUCCUGCACCAUUUUCUCCGAUGCUCUUCGCCUCAAUCGAGCUCCCACCGUAGUACUCCACAGAAGAAGCAGGAAUGUUAUUUACUGCUUCUUUCACCGACACUGAGCUGCAGGGGAUCAGAUUCAUUAGGACCGUCGAAGCCCUGAACCUGCCGCUCAAGCAACCGCCUGCCGUCCGAUCCCCGUCGACCCGCGCAGUCGACGAGGCUGUUUUGAGGGGCGGUGGAAGCGCCUCCGGGCUCGACGACAAGCACGGCGGCGGCGAGAUCUCCUCCCUCCGGAGCUCCGCUCGACAGUUAGAGUAGUCGGCAAUGCAAUCCUCUCGCGCUCUCCACGGCGGUCUCUCCUCCGUCUGCGUCGACGCGUCGGCCGAUCCGACAGCCGUCUCCGCCGUUAGCCCACGAGAGUUCGGCACUGUAUCGGUUUUUCGCGAAUUGUGGAAGCCGAGAUCGCCUCUGAUGGAUUUGGAUGCGUCGAGAGGCUUCUCCGAGCUGGACGAAGAGGAAGCGGUCGCGGUGACCGAAGACGAGGCGGCGGUGGGAACGAGCUCCGUCCCCUUGAGCACGUACUCGUUGCUGUGGAUCGGAGGGAUCAAAUCGUCGUCGGAGAGGUCGUGCCACACAUAUCCGUUCUUGUAGGCUCUGAAUCAAACAGUUGGAGAUCAUCAACGAAGCAAGGGAGAUAAGAACUUCAUGUGUAAAGAUCUUCUCAAACAUUUUUCUAUUUUGACAUGCCUCCUCAACUUUGAUUUUUUUAAAAAAAAUUUAAUUGACAUUUUCUAUUGAUAUCGUUUUUCCAUUUCAAAAUGGCAAAUAAUUAAUAGUUUAGAGAGUGUUGAUUUUUAUUAAUUAAUCAAUCCAGCAGUUAAUUAACCAGUCAAUUAAUUAAGUAAUUAAUUAAUUAAUGUUACCGUUUGGAAGACCAGGAGUACAUUGCCCCCAACCACUGUCCCCUGAGAACGUUGAGUCGGUUGAUAAAAUCUGAGGAGAGAAAUGUAAUUAACUAAGGAAUUAGUGACAAAAAAAAAAUUAAUAGCUAAUUUUUUUUUAAAAAAAUGGAACUUUUUUUUUUUUGUUGUUCCAAAUUUGGUGAUUAAUGUUUAAUACCUCUGAGAAAGAGACCUUCGUCGGAGGAGUAGGUGACUUCCAUGUAGUGGGGAUGCUCCAAGUGAUUGUUCCUUGAGAGGUAGUAGACGACGGCCGCGACCGCCACGGCUUUUUUCUUAUCCGAUGAUCUCCGCGGCGGCUUCGGCUCGAUCCACACCUUCGCCCUCUCCGGGCUCGCCUCCGCCCGCUCCCUCUGAUCACCGGGGAGCUCCGCGCUUCCCCGAGAAGCAGAAGCAGAAGCCAUGGAAAUUAAGAGAGAAAGAGAACAAGUUGUUAGUAGAAGAAGAGCGAGUGAAAUAGGAUUAUAGGGGGUGGGGGAACAUUCAAAUCGGGAGGGGGCGGGACAAACCGAAACUAUUGCAUGAACCCGGUGCGCCGUGCUCCGUACUUGUGAAACCUUAUCGUAAAGGUUUUAGAACUUUGUAUUUAGUUUAUUUGAUGUGUUAUAUGAUAUUCGAAAGAUAAAUUUACCAGAAAAGUGUAAAUUUUAAACAUCAUUUCUCAUCCAACAAACAACUUUUUUUUUAUCGUUAAUUUCCAAAGCAAUUUAAUGCCUGAAUGAUAGUCUUCUAGGCACCGUUUGGUUCGGAUAUAAGUAAGAACUAGUUAUUAUAGGGAUAGGUACAAGUAUGGGAAUAAGAAAAAUAACGUUUGGAUGAAAAUUGGAUUGUUUACGGUGAUAAAAAAAAAAUAACGUUUAGAUAGAUAAUAUAAAAUAAGAAAAAUAGUGAAUAAUUAUAUAUAGAAAAUAGAGGUGUUGAUGGGGAUAAUUAUACCUGAUUAUUAUAGGUAACCGAAAAUUACUAUUCUCGAAUAAAAAAUUAGCGUUUGGAUAUAAAAGGAAAAUAAGGAGUUAUUCCAUCAUUAUCUCCAAUCCAAACGCAACCCUAUCUUUUUGUACGCAUGUUCUUUACAUGUUAAUGUUUAUAUUUUGACAGGUGCUUUACUAAUCUUAACGCUUUUAACUUAUUUUAAGAUGCUUAUUAUCUAACAUUGCGUGUGGUUCAUGAAUAAUCAUGGGUACGUACACCUGGUGUUUUUCAAACUUUCUAUUAUUCCGAUUAAAAAAAAGGGUAAAGUUAAAAAGGGCGAGAAUGGAAUGGAUCAAAUGAUAGUGUUGCAGGGAGCAUGAUAUUUUUGUAUGACUUUAUAUCAUCCUAAUACUUUUUAAUUUAACUAUUACUAACUCCAACGGUCUAGUGAGUUUGAGUUUGACUGAGGAUAAGAAGGGGGAGGAGAAAAAGGGCGGGCCACAUUUUCAAACAAACUGUAGCUGUUUGGUAAAGUGGAUUAGAGAUGGAGUUGUACCUCACAACAUUAGUUUGAUUUUGGACAUCAAUAACAGUGCCUCGUUGUUGGAGCCCAAAAGUCAAAAUGUACAGAAACCCAACCACUCCAAAAUUAGUACACCACUACAGUAUUGACCUCGAACCUCUCAUAAAACAUUACUGAUACACUGACCUGCACAUAGAAUAUGCAGUAACUAUUUUUUACGUGGGACAAUUGCUUAUGUAUUUCUGAAAAAUUUUCGACUUUUCGAUUUGCACCUCUUAGAAGACUAAUAUUGAAAAAAAAUUUUCUUCGUUCCAACCUAUUUCUAAUAUACUCUUAUAGUUAAAAUCUGUUAAUUAAGUCUGUUAUCUCUGUAAAAUUAUUAUUUUAUCCUUUCAAAUAUGUUUUUCCACCGUCAUUGACUUUUUUAUUUACCCUUAAAGUCAGGGAUAUAAAAAGUAUUUUGACUUUUGAUCUUUUCUAAUGUACUCCUCUACCGUCACCAAUAUUUCUUAUUUGCCCUUAAGUUAAGUGUAAAAUUGACAUUUUAAUUUUUUUAAACCGUGGUAGAUAUUUAACUCACGUUUAACCCAAGUUAACUUAACAGGAGAUAACUUCGGGGGUAUUUUGCAAUAACGGUGGAAUAUAUGAGGGGUAUUUUAGAAAGACAAAAAAAAAUAAAGAUAAAUCGGAUAUUUUCAAACGUAUGAGAGGUUUGUAGGCAAUUAUCCCUUUUUACAAUAGCGUCGUCAACACAUCAAAUAUCGUUUGGUGUAUAGUAAUCAAAUUAAUGAGCCAGGAAGAGUAAUGCUUCGAGCAUUUAAAUUAAUGUUAUAAAGUAUUGAUAAUUAGUCAGUAUUAUACAUAUGACAAAUAUUAGGUAACUAGUAUUUUUUAGACUUUAUCUCGUAUCAAGUGUUUUAGCUGAAGUAAGUAAAAUGAAAUAAAACACUGAUGAACGAAUCACUUGUUGAUGCGUAGACGGAUAGACGAAUACCGUAACAUUGUGGGGUACCUUCUGGGGUGCAUGUUGCAAUUACUCAGCUACAUAUCUGGGGACUCUGAUUGUCCUGGGUACGUUUGACUUGUAUAGUAUCCUACUAUUUUUAUCACUAGGUGAUUGAUUCUCUCACACCCAGAUUAAAAGAACCUUGCUCCAGAUCCAGAUCUGCACAAAAUCCACUGAAGCAAUUCCACUGAUUCUACUGUUGAAGUGAAACACCACAAUAUACAAAUGUAAUCCAUUCUAUUUAAUUCAAUGUCCCCUCAUUCAAGCUAUUAAAUAUUAAGAGGAGUUAGGUGAAUUUUGAAAGUUGCCAUAUUUGUAAGCCUUUGAAUCUUUAGUUUUGAAGCACUUUAGAAAAAAGAUUUGUGUAGAGUAAAGAGGGGAGGGGACAAGGAAUCAGAUGAGCAUAUAACGACAAUGCUAUUUAUCAAUAAAGGAUUUAUGAAUUCAAAUGGUGCAAAAGAUAAUGAUCUGAAUCAAUGAGAAACCUACUCCCAUGAUGCUUUAAAUAAAUAGUUGCUGGACCUCAUAAAUGACUCUUCAUAUUACCAUCAAUAGUCCAAUAAGUCAUUCCACCUAGCUAUGCUUGAUUUACAAUUACAAAUUGAAAUAUGACACCUCUUGAGAUAAGUUGAAAAUCUGAUUUUUAUGUAAAACUGUUUUGAGUAAACCAUAAGGCUAGCUCCUUUGAUAUUAGGGGAAGAAUGCGUUACGAAUGAUCAGAAAGUGCGAUGAAAAAAUAUAGUUCAGUCGCUUCCGUUAAAAAUAUAGCACUUUGUGGAUCGCAAUGAUCCAGUUACGAUAUUAUUUUCGUAAUUCCAUAAGAAAAUAAAAAAGUAUAUUUAUGUAUAGUCUUCAACUUCUUUUGGUUCAACAGAGUAAAGUAGUUCUCAAUACAAAACGGGCCUAAGACAAAUCAUGGGACUUAUUUUGCAUAUGUAACUAUACAUUAUGAGCAGUAGUACCUGUUACCAUAUCUCAACUCAUUUUAUAAAAUUUUACAUUUUGAUUCAAAAUUUUCAAACCAAUUUGAGAUAGUGGUGAAGCAUUAAGUGACAAUUUUUUUUUUUUUUGAGUAAAAACACUAAGGGAGUGUUUGGAUUGACGAAUCUCUAGAUCCAACAUAACUUAAAUGUAGUGGUGUUGGAGUUUUCCUAAAAUAUAGUUAUUUUUUCGUUGUCUAUUUUGAUGUAAUUCAUACAAUCUAAAAAUUAAAUUUAAGCACUUUUUGGCUUGUUCUGAUGUAAUUUGAUGCUAGAGUAACUAGUUUUUUGAGUUCUGUUGUUUAUUUUGAUGUAAGUAAAUAAAUUUUAUUACCUUCUAAAUGUAGUGAUAAAUUUAUUCUCAUAAUAUCCAAAAUAUUAAAUAAUUAAGUUCUCCCUUAAUAUUUAAAGGUAAUUCUAACCUAUUGUAAAGAAAGUUGAGUUUAGGUUUAAAUAUUUAAUUAAUUUUUGAGAAAAAUGUCGAGUGCAGUGAAAAUUGAGUUCGGCACUCUAGAGGAGAAAGUUAAAAAUAGAUGAAGUAGAGAUCUAACGUAACUUGAGUUAUAUUAUUGUUUUAACUUAUACCAAAAUAAAUACCGAAAAUAAUGAAACUUGAGUUUCACCUUUUUACUUCAAAUUAAACUGCUCAUAAGUGAGAAUUAAUAUGGGCUUUCAUGAAGAGAUUAAUUGAGACAGGCCAAAAAUGCAGAGUUUUUUUUUUUUUUUUUUUGGGUUACUUCCAAUUUCUUUUAUCUGUCACUGUCACUUCAAAUGAGAAAUACAAUAGCAUAAUAAUCGUGCAAAAAUUAAGGAAAAAAAAUAAACAGAAAAAAGGCAAAAAAACUCGACGAAAAAAAUCUUCUCCUUAUUGAGCUCGACUCAAGAUUAGGAUGAUCCGGCUCAAGUUCGAGUCGAUUAGAUAACAAACUCGAGCUCGAGCCUAAAAGUUACGAUUCCUCUUAAUAGUCCCACAUCGGCCACAAAACACGAUUACAGAGUGUGCGCACUAUAAAUAGAGGACACCCCCCAACGUUUAGUUUCAUACCUUUCUCGGCCUUUUGGCUAAGAUCAAGUGUAGUAUCUGUUCUUAUCAGUUUAAUAUCUGAUACGUGGGCCAUGUGCCCACCUCGAUAUUAAAUUAAUUUUUCAGUGGGGGAGGGCCCAUCGACAGUAGCUUGCUACUGGGGCUCUCGUGCGUCGCCCUCGCGUUGCACUACUGCGUGGGCCUGGCGCACCCCUACCAAAACUUAAGCCACAAAUCAUUCGACCUUGUGUAGGGCCUAAAAUUAUAAGGGCUCUUAAUCUAAUUUUACAUUUGAAUCCCUAGCUUAUAUUGAGUUUACAAGAAAAAUCCCGAAGUUCGGUUGUGUUUGUUUCACCAGGGUGAAGUGAUUUUCAAUUUACUUUUCUUGUUUGGUUCACAAUAACUUUUCUUUCGUAGAAAUUGUAAUUUUUGUAAUUUUCGAAAAUAUCGUAAUUGACUUUGGUCUAUCCUCAAGCUAUAGUUAAUUACAGUUAAUUACGACUUCAUCAUUCACUUUAUGCCGUACAAAUAAGUACAAAUAAAUACAAGUACAAAGACUUCAGUUCUACAACUAUACAAACAAAUAACGAGAUAAAUAAUUUUUAUAUGAAUUCUACCUUAUCAAAACGUCUAUUUCAGUAUGAAUUACACCUUUAGUGAAAACAACGCAGCCGAGGCCGGGUUUAAUUGGAUUACUUUUGGGGUGCGUUUGGUUCGCGCUAUCUUUUAAAAAUUUCUAGUAAUCCAAUGGAAAUGAAAAAAUAUGACGGUAUUUGGUUAAACGCACUAAGUAAUUUAGUUGGUAAUAUUGAAUUCACUUGGGAAUAAGAUUCACCCCAAACUACUAAUCUCAUUCCCUUGAGGGAGGGUGGGUAUCCUCAUAUUAAUGGAUUAAGGUAAUCAUAAUAUGUCUAAUAUCUUUCUUUUUUCCUACCCGCCGGUUAAUUGAUAUUAUUUUUCUUUACACUCUAACCUUAUAUCUCUCUCUAAACUUAUUUUUCUCUCUAAAAUUUAAUUUACUUUUGGUAACAUUAUCUAAAAUUAAUUAAUUAAAUAAAUUAAUUAAUUGUAUAUUUUUUGUAAUAUUAAAUAACAUGGCUAAUUAAUAUUAUUGUGCGAACCAAACACAGAAAUUUCACAUUCUUAAUAAUAGGAUGAAUAGGAAUAAGAUUCUCGGAUAUCUUUUAUUUCUAGUAAUCUUCCAUAAUGCGAACCAAACGCACCCUUAAGCCCAUAUCACUUUCCCUAUUGGGCCUUUAUGGGCUUAUCGGCUACCAUUGGGCUCGGGAUCUUUGGGCUCUGUUUGGGUGUUGACUCAAAGUUAAUUUAAAGAUUUAAUUUUAGUUAUAAAUUAUUUUUCGGUUGAAUUUAGCCAAUUUACAGAAAAACCAUUCACCUUUGUUUAAAUAAACUUUGACCAAAUGUGAGAAAUUUAGUUUUUCUGUUACAGUAUUAGCCCUCAUUUUUUUUUAGGGUGAAAAUGUAUAAGAUUUAUUUAGACUUUUUAUAUAUUAUUAUCUUAAUACCUAACGUUUAAAAUUUUCGAUUUUACUAUCCAAUCUUUCAAUUAGACUCUUCUAUUACGGAAUUUGAAGUAAGGCUCAUUUAAUUUGAAAAAUAAUAACAUGAAUAGCACGUAACAUCCAAAGCAAAUGUGAUUUCUGAAGUAAAAGAAUCAUCAAAUAACUCAAAUUAAAUAAAUUGAAAUGUUAAAUAGUAAUAUUAAAACUUCUAAAAAUUAGACAGUACAUAAUUAAAAUGGGCAUGGUUUAUAUUUUGAAACUUAUCUUUUCCCAGUUUAGUUAAAUUAAAAUAAAAUUUUAAAUCUCUUGUUAGGUAGGUGCAAUAUUCUACAUCCUAUAUAGAGAAUGAGAAGAGAUGCAUACAUAGCAUUUUUUUUUUUUUGGGUUCAGGUUUCGUUUUUCUCAUUUGACACUCUUUAAACACCUCCACACGUUUCUUCUAUGCCCACAUAAGUACGGCCAUGCGAUGCACGUGGGACACCACGUUGUCGCCACGUGCACUGCUCGUGUUUGCUUAGGUUUUACACGAGUGGAGUGUCAAAGUCUAAGGUGAGGUGGAAAUACAAUGGAAUGUGAUCCAUGUGCCCAAAAUGUAGUAACACAGAACACCAUGGGAAACUUCAAAUACCCCCAUUGUGGCUUUGCACUUUUUCACUUUAGUAGUAUUUUUUUAUUUUAGUACCUUAUGGUUUAAAGUGUAUCAAAUUAGUAUUUUAUAAUUUCGCACUUUAUCACUUAAGUACCCUAUGGUUUCAAAUGUAUCAUGUUAGUACCAUAUGAUUUUAUUUUUGUAUCAAGUUAGUACCCUGUGGUAUCAUUUUUAUAUCAAGUUAGUACCAUGUGGUUUUAAUUUUUUUUUUAUUAUUCAUUUCGGAAUAUAUAAUUUAACGAAAUAUUAAACCACAGGGUACUAAAGUGAGAAAGUACGAAACCACAUGGUACUAACUUGAUACACUUGAAACCACAGGGUACAAAAGUGAGAAAGUACGAAACCACAGGAUACUAACUUGAUACGCUUUAUGCCACAGGGUACUAAAGUGAAAAAGUGCAAAACCACAUGGGGGUAUUUGAAGUUUCCCCUAAAUAAAGCUUAUUAUAAGGAAUUUUUUUUUUUAAACCAUGCUUAAGAUAAGCAUCUCCAAACAGUUGUACUAUUAUUAUAUAUUAGAUACCGACACUUCAAAAAAUAGCGUCAUAUAAUUUCUUCAAAUUAUUAUUUAAUUUUCUGACGCCUAAAAUUAUUUGGUUUUAAAAAAAUUAUGACACUUUAAAGUGCUAUAAUAUAUCUCACCAACGAAUGACAAAAGCGUCAAUAUAUACGCGCACGACUCAUAUAUGCCAAUGCUUUCUAAUACGACGAUCUAUUAAUUUGGGACAAUUUUACACAUCGUUAAAUACUGGAAAAAAAAUCUGUAAAUAUUAUUUUUCUUAGAGUGCUUGUGGCUGCAAGUUUUACCGUGGGAUGUUAAUUCUCACCAUUUCCCUCGGCCUAAACCAUACUAAUCAAAUACUGAACUAAAAAGAUGAUUGCAGUUGAAAAUAAAAGCCGAAAUUUUGUUGAACGGAUGCUACCCAUUUCGUUUAUUUCAUAUAAAUAAAUUUAGUUGGAGUUGUGAAUCAACUAGGAUUCGAACUUGGGAUCUCGAAUACCAACCAGCAAACUCUUUGCCACGCUCUAGGUACGGUCGGUAUGCUUUUACAGUUAAUUCAACUGUAUGGUAUUUUUUUAGAAAAACUUUUCUUAAUUUUCUCCUUAAUUUAUAUUAAAUUAGUGAUUAAAAGUGAAGUAUAGCUCUACUAUAUCAAUUCAUCAUGCCUUCAGAAAAGAAAAAAAAAAAAAGUAAUUGAGAACAUAAAUUAUGAAAUAGAUUCCAAAUCAAAUACAUUGAUGAGCGCGGAUGAGAUUGAGCUUACAAUGUUUAUUUUGUUGGUGCGUCUUUCAUUUAAAGUUUGACUUAAAGUUGUGAUGUUUGAUUUUAAAAAAUUGUGUCACCAAUACUCCACCUAAACUUUUUCUCUAUGAAUUUAUUGUCCAUACAGAAAACCAAUUUAUCGCAAUUAAUAAUGCCGAUCGAUCCAACGAAAUCCAAUAAUUAAGAUUAAUCUUCAAUUUGGUUGGAUGGUAAGAUUAAUCAUGUAAUGCCGAAUUUUUUUUUUUUGAGAAAGAGGUAGCAAGCUACCUGCUUCAUUCAUUAAGCAAAAUGAAUUUAGCGUACAUGAUGGAGGCAGCUAAGGCCUCCUAGCGGAACCGGCAAAGCGAAAAGAAACAGUAAGAGAACAGUACAGAUAAGUAGACAAGAGCACCGACUCGAGAGAUUAAAGAGCGAUCACGGGUCUAGUGCCUCGGUCCAUGCCUUCAAUAACGCGACGACCCUUCCAAUUGCUCGGGUAGCAUCCGGGGUCUCCUCGCUGAAGACGAUUUUAUUGCGCUCCGUCCAAACAACCCACCAGAUUGCCGCCAAACGUGUGAGCCUUUUCGUUCUGUGCAUUGCUGAAUUUCAUGAACGUGGAGUUUGCUGGUCUAUUAUUGUAUGAAAAAUGCUAUAUGUACAGCUCUAUAUAGGUAUAAAUUUUACAUCUCUGUAAUCUUAUAAUUUAUAAAAAAUCAAAUGAAUUUUAAUAAUAGUAAUAAUAAUAAUAGGCCUUUUUGCAUAAAAAAUCUACUUAUUUUGGGUUUCUGCAAAAUCGGAUCACCUUUUUCGUUUUUGCAGAUUCGGUCCGCUUUUUCAGCAAACUGACCAAAAUACCCUUAUUACUUUUUCUCUUUCCUCUUUCCUCUUUCUCUCUCCUCCUCUUCGUUUCUGUCGUUCUUUUUUUUUUCUCGCCGAAAAAAAAAGAGGCGGACCGGACCGUCGCCUUCUUCUUCACCGUCGCCUCCCUCCUCACCCUCCUUUUUUAUCGUUGCCUCCCUCCUCACCCUCAUCUCCACCGCCCGCGACCCCCUCCUCCUCUCCCCUGCCGCCGCCGCUGAGCCCACCCCCACCGUCGUCUCCGUCGCCGUCGCCGAGCCCACGGCCAUGGCGGCGGCGGCGAAGGCGGAGGAGCGCGGGGGGGAGGGGAAGGGGUCACACGACUCCAUGGCCAUCACCGCGCUCUUCUUGAACGGCACCGCCCCGCCGUCCCCGUCGUCGUNNNNNNNNNNNNNNNNNNNGCGUCGCCGAGUAUGGAGCCCGUGUCGGCGCCGGGGAGCUCAAAGAAGAGGCGGUCGACGUGCGCCGACGACUUGAUGCCGCGUAUCACGCUCUCCGACGACUCGCCAUUGUACUACUCGUCGUCGGACGGCGCCGUCGACAGGCUGGUCAUGUCCCGAUCGCGCCCCUCGUCCGACGAGUUGGUGAAGCGCGACUCCGGCGAGUCCGGCCGGUACACCGAGUUGGCCGUCUUGUACAUGCAACCCGACGACGGCUCGACGGAGAAGAAGACGACGGCGAAGAAGAAGGCCUAAACUGGAUGCGGAGGCCGAGGCGGAGAAGAAGACGACGGCGAAGAAGAAGAUGGGGAGGCCGAGCGGCAGGGCGCAGAAGGGGGAGGUGGAGGCGGAGGCGCAGCCGGCGCCGGCACCGACGUCGGGCGUGUUCUUCUCCGUCGGCGCCGCCCCUCCUCCCGCUGCCGCGCAGAAGCUGCCGACUAGCAAAUGGUGUAAUGGUGUAAAUGGUGUAAUGGUGUAAUAGUGUAAUGGUGCAAAUGGUGUAACGGUGUAAUGGUGCAAAUAGUAUAAUGGUGUAAUGGUGCAAAAUUGUAAUGGUGUAAUGGUGCAAAUGAUGUAAUUGUGUAAUGGUGCAAAAUGGUGUAAUGGUGUAAUGGUGCAAAAUGGUGUAAUGGUGUAAUGGUGCAAAUGGUGUAAUGGUGUAAUGGUGUAAUGGUCCCCACUCCUCGCUAGCGCCGGCUGCGCCUCCGCCUCUCUCUCUUGCGCCUUGCCGCUCGGCCUCCCUUUCUUCUUCUUCGCCGUCNCUUAUGGUUUAAAGUGUAUCAAGUUAUUAUUUUAUAAUUUCGCACUUUAUCACUUUAGUACCCUAUGGUUUCAAAUGUCUCAUGUUAGCACCAUGUGGUUUCAUUUUUGUAUCAAGUUAGUACCCAGUGGUUUCAUUUUUAUAUCAAGUUAGUACCAUUUGGUUUUAAUUUUCUUUUUUUAUUAUUCAUUUCGAAGUAUAUAAUUUAACGAAAUAUUAAACCACAAGGUACUAAAGUGAGAAAGUACGAAACCACAGGGUACUAACUUGAUACAUUUGAAAAGUACGAAAACCACAGGGUACUAACUUGAUACACUUUAAACCACAGGGUACUAAAAUAAAAAAGUGCGAAACCACAUGGGGGUAUUUGAAGUUUUCCCUAAAUAAAGCUUAUUAUAAGGAAUUUUUUUUUUAAACCACGCUUAAGGUAAGCAUCUCCAAACAGUUGUACUAUUAUUAUAUAGUAGAUACCGGCACUUCAAAAAAUAGCGUCAUAUAAUUUCUUCAAAUUAUUAUUUAAUUUUCUGACACCUAAAAUUAUUCGGUUUAAAAAAAAAUUUGACACUUUAAAGUGCUAUAAUAUAUCUCACCAGAAAAUGACAAAAGCGUCAAUAUAUACACGCACGACUCAUAUAUGCCAAUGCUUUCUAAUACGACGAUCUAUUAAUUUGGGACAAUUUUACACAUCGUUAAAUACUGGAAAAAAAUCUGUAAAUAUUAUUUUUCUUAGAGUGCUUGUGGCUGCAAAUUUUACCGUGGGAUGUUAAUUCUCACCAUUUCCCUCGGCCAAAACUAUACUAAUCAAAUACUGAACUAAAAAGAUGAUUGCAGUUGAAAAUAAAAGCCGAAAUUUUGUUGAACGGAUGCUACCUAUUUUGUUUAUUUCAUAUAAAUAAAUUUAGUUGGAGUUGUGAAUCAACUAGGAUUCGAACUUGGGAUCUCGAAUACCAACCACCAAACUCUUUGUCAUUUGCUCUAGGUACGGUCGGUAUGCUUUUAUAGUUAAUUCAACUGUAUGGUAUUUUUUUAGAAAAACUUUUCUUAAUUUUCUACUUAAUUUAUAUUAAAUUAGUGAUUAAAAGUGAAGUAUAGCUCUACUAUAUCAAUUCAUCAUGUCUUCAGAAAAGAAAAAAAAAAUGUGAUUGAGGACAUAAAUUAUGAAAUAGAUUCCCAAUCAAUUGCAUUGAUGAGCGCGGAUGAGAUUGAGCUUACAAUGUUUAUUUUGUUGGUGCGUCUUUCUUUUAAAGUUUGACUUAAGGUUAUGAUGUUUGAUUUUAAAAAAUUGUGUCACCAAUAUUCCGCCUAAACUUUUUUUCUAUGAAUUUAUUGUCCAUACGGAAAACCAAUUUAUCGCAAUUAAUAAUGCCGAUCGAUCCAACGAAAUCCAAUAAUUAAGAUUAAUCUUCAAUUUGGUUGGACGGUAAGAUUAAUCAUGUAAUGCCGAAUUUCAUGAACGUGGAGUUUGCUGGUCUAUUAUUGUAUGAAAAAUGCUAUAUGUACAGCUCUAUAUAGGUAUAAAUUUUACAUCUCCGUAAUCUUAUAAUUUAUAAAAAAUCAAAUAAAUUUUAAUAAUAGUAAUAAUAAUAAUAAUAAAAUUAGAGAAUAAAAAGAAUUUUUGGAUGAACUGAGUAUACGUGUUACACCUAGCCCGUAUGCGUAUGUCGAGUCCAAUAGCUCUAUUUUUUUUUUUUUUUUUUUUUAUAUUAUAAAAUAGACCUCUAUGUACGGACUAAAGACCACCUUAGUUGAUGUCACACAAUUCUUCUGGUCAUUAUUUUAGCAUGUCACUAUAAGACGGUUCCUUGACUAUAUCAUCAUUAGAUAUUAUUAUUAUUGUUAUUAGGAAAAGCUUCAAAAAUCUCCUUUGUGAUUUCCUACUUUUUCACUUUUUCACUUUAGUAUCAUGUGGUUUAAAGUGUAUCAAGUUAGUACCCUGUAGUUUCGCACUUUCUCACUUCAGUACCAUGUGAUUUCGCACUUUCUUACUUUAGUACUCUGUGGUUUAAUAUUUGGUUAAAUUAUAUAGAAAAAACUUUAGAUAUCUUAUCUAAGUUUAUCGAAUAUUUAUUUUAGUACUCUUUAGUUGUAAUUUUGUUAUUGAUUUAAUGANGACAGAAACGAAGAGGAGAAAGAAAGAGGAAACAGAAAAAGUAAUAAGGGUAUUUUGGUCAGUUUGCUGAAAAAGCGGACCGAAUCUGCAAAAAUAAAAAAAGUGACUCGAUUUUAUAAAAGUUCAAAAUAAGUGAAUUUUUUAUGCAAAAAGGCCAUAAUAAUAAUAAAAUUAGAGAAUAAAAAGAAUUUUUGGAUGAACUGAGUAUACGUGUUACACCUAGCCCGUAUGCGUAUGUCGAGUCCAAUAGCUUUUUUUGUUUUUAUUUUAUAAAAUAGACCUCUAUGUACGAACUAAAGACCGCCUUAGUUGAUGUCACACAAUUCUUCUGGUCAUUAUUUUAGCAUGUCACUAUAAGACGGUUCCUUGACUAUAUCAUCAUUAGAUAUUAUUAUUAUUGUUAUUAGGAAAAGCUUCAAAAAUCUCCUUUGUGGUUUCCUAUUUUUUCCCUUUAGUAUCAUGUGGUUUAAAGUGUAUCAAGUUAGUGUCCUGUAAUUUCACACUUUCUCACUUUAGUACCAUGUGGUUUCGCACUUUCUUACUUUAGCACUCUGUGGUUUAAUAUUUGCUUAAAUUAUAUACAAAAAACUUUAAAUAUCUUAUCUAAGUUUAUCGAAUAUUUAUUUUAGUACCCUUUAGUUUUAACUUUGUUAUUGAUUUAAUGAAAAAAAAACCCCGAAAUGGAUAAUAAAAAGAGAAAAAUGAAACCACGCGGGACUAAUUUGAUACAAAAAUAAAAUCAUAGAGUACUAACUUAAUACACUUUAAACCACAAGAUACUAAAGUGAGAAAGUGCGAAACCACAGGAUACUAAUUCGAUACACUUUAAACUACAGAAUACUAAAGUGAAAAAAUGCGAAACCACAUGAGGGUUUUUGAAGUUUUUCCUUAUUAUUAUUAUUAUUAUUAUUAUGUUUUGAAAUGAAAAUAAUAUACUAUCAGUUUUGUUUUAUGGAGUUUUUCACCACGCAUGUUAUAAAUAGUUGGUUACAUUAAUUUAAUUUAAUUAUUAAUAAUUACUGGUUGUUCGUAGCUCAAGUGUAGAAUACAUUAGUGGGCGUUUAAUUAGGUUUUUUAAAAAUAUUUCAAAAAAUGAUUUUUUGAUUGGAAAUUAUUUUUGUCGUUCGUUUGAUUUCUAAAGAAACUAAUAUUUAUUUUUUAAAUUUUUUAUCCUGGCAACAAAACUAUAUAAACACGGUGUUUGUUUAAAAAUCUUCUUUUUUUUUUUUCAAAAAAUCUGCACUUAUUUGAAAAAUCUAACAACCCUUAACUGGCAAAAAAGACAAAAAAAAAAAAAACAAAACAAAAGGCUACACUCAGCUCAGAACCAUUCGUCGCUCUCUGAAUAAAACAUCAAUUAAUUAAUCAUUACAUGAAUUCUUAAAUUAUCAGCUGAGAUCGAGCUUUUAACUUUCAUUUGUCCAUUAAUGCGGUUUGGGACUAAAAUGCAAUAUUCAAAGAUUCCAAAUCCACAUCAUUUUUGCGCUCAUCGAUCUAGUACAUAAAUUGGAUAGAGCUGUGGAUCAGUGGCCCAUUUGAAUUCCGAAGAAAAAUCUAGUUCCGUACCAACCAAUAAACGGACCCACAACUCUCACCAACCACAUACCAAAUCGCUCCCAUCUCACUCCACAAGGAGAUUCUUUUCUACAGAUCAUUCCCGGGACCUUUUCCACACUUCAUCCGUAAACAGAAGAGCGUCGCUGUGUCCAUUCAAUCUCAAAAUAUCUGCGGGACCAAAUCAAAAAUAUUGUAUAGAGAAAUUGAUUGUUAACUAGAUGCGUGCUCUGUUGGCUCGUGCUUAAGAAAAAGAUACUCACUAUGGACAACUUGUUAAAAAGAGGAUGGAUUGGGAAUACGACUUGCGUGCUUUGUGGGUCAGUAAUAAAAACGAUUGAUCAUCUCUUUACACAGUGCGUAUUCUUCACAUUCCUUAUGGUGAAGUCACUGGAGGAUGUCCAGUCAGGAGACUUGAGAGUUGACGUCCACUGGCUAUGGGAUAUUUGAAAAGAUCGGAAGGGGACACAACACAUGAGUAACGGGUUAUGUGGUAUUAUAGCUUGCUGGUGGGUGGCGUGGGAGACCAGGAACGGAGCGAUUUUUGCAAGGGAUCAAGCGGACCCUCUCCGUAGGACUCAUAAGAUUAAACACUUGAUGGCUCAGUCGGGAAAUUCUGAUUGGUAGGUAGAUAGGUCUUGUUGACAGUAUAGCGAAAUUAACUGUAUCUGUAAACACCGUCUGUCUUUUCUUUGUUUUCGUCUCCCUUGAGGCUUUGAUGUCUCAUCCAUGUAGCUUAAUUCACCUUCUGAAUAAAUGAAGCGGAUAGCAUGCUACAUUUUUCUCAAAAAAAAACUAGAUGCGCUAUCUUAAAGAUUGGGAGCUCGAAUGGAUUAUUUAUACGGUUCAAAUAAGAAGUGUUUUAGAUUUCUGCUUGUCAAAUUAUCUGUAAUAUUUGUAUUUAGAAAUAUUAAAACUUAAAGAGAAGAUCAAUUAUCCGUGGCGAUUAUUCGAAAAAUGCGAAGAUUGAAUAUAUAACUUGUACGUUUCGAAAAAGAAGAGCUUGAGGCUUCAGCUAUUUAGAUAUAUAAACAUCACAAACAAUCAGCACGUAUGUAACAUAAUAAUUUGUCAUCUGAGCUGGUAUCUAUCUACAAGGCGAGAGUCAAAAAAAAAAAAAAAGAAGAAAAAUACAACAUCAACAUUUUCAAAAUUUACAGGAACUUUUUGACAAUAUCACGAGGAUUCUUGGGGAUAGAUAAAGAUUCGGUGGACCGGGUCUACGGAUUUUCUCGAAGCUGUGUGGAAAAGCGCUUACGUGGCGGAGGACACAGCGGAUUCGACCGAUCGGUAUCCGCCAAACCGCCGACGCGACCCCCACCAUUAGGUGGCUCGUCGGUGGGCCCCGCCAUUCGAAACGGGCUUGUGAAAUCCGUUUAUCCACGGGAUCCCGUAGGAUCAAUCACACCCGUCCACGUGUCCCCUCGGCUAGCCGUUCGCUGCACCGUGGUCCACGAUGGACCCAUAACAACGGUAAAACUCACAUUACAUUAACAGGACACCAUAUUUCCAAUACCAAAAAAAUAUUUUAUUAUUUUAAUCAUUUAUAAAUUAUAUUUUUAAUUAUUAUUAAAUUAAUAUGACGAACAUAGUUGUUAAAUACAAACAUAAUUUAUGAACCCAAGUUACCACUUAUUCUGAAUAUCUAGAAAGUAAAAAAAUUUUAAGCUGAAUUUUAAAUUAUUAAGUUAUGGCCUAUAAUAGUUUAUAUUUUAUAUUUUAUUAAAAUUAUAAAAUUUAAUAAUUAUUUUCACACAAUAAAUACUGAUUUACAAAUUUUGCAAUUGUUUAAUUCCUAUAGGCAAGUUUUGAAAAAUAUUAUUAUACAUUAUUAUAUAAUAUUUUCUUGUCGCUCAGUACUAAAGAUUAAAGAUUACACGUGGCAUUAAAUAAUUUUAAGUUAGAUUUUCGACACUCCUAAGGUUGAUAACUGUAGACCGGCUCUUGGGCUUGAAUGGUGAACCUGGUCCAACGAAAUAAUUCGGCCAAGCAGUCGCCAAUCCAAUCCCAAACUCCUCGUUGGCUCUUUAAUCGCGCCGCUGCGCCUUUAAUAGCGCUCUUCUUCGCUCACACUCUUCGCUCUCUCUCUCUCUCUCUCUCGCUCUUUCUCUUUCUCUCUCUCUUAAUCUUCUCCGAUCUAGUCCUAGGGUUUGGAAACCUCGGCGGCGGCGGCGGCCAUGGCGGAGCCGGCGAGGCCCGGCGUGGAGGCUGGAGACGAGGAGCUUCUCCUUCUCCCGGAUUCCGGCGACCGCGAGCGCUCAUGGCGCCUCAACUUCGACGGAUUCCGGCGAUCGGAGCACCAGGAGAAACCCCCUCGCGGGCUCCAUGAUUGCCUCGGCGUGCUAGGUCUCUCUCCCUCUCUCCCUCUCUCUCUAGCGCGCGCGCGCGCGCGCUCGCGGAGAUGUGCGCUCGAACCCCACGAGUGCGGCGGAUCGCGUGCUCCACCCGUCGCACGCGUUUGCUCCGACCGGCGUGCUACUUGUGUGUGAUGGUUUCUGAUUUGUGGUAAAGCUCCUGUUGCGUCUUAUUUUGAGAUGGGAGUUUUCGUUGGUGGGUUGUUUUGCUUAUGUUGGUGGGUUGUUUUCUUUGAUGUUGAUUCCCUUACCUAAAAGGAGGGAACGUGUAUUAUAUUUUUUUUGUUCUAAAAUAUUAAGAAGUUGCAAUUUUGGGUAUGAUUCUAUAUUUCGGUAUAUAAAACUUGGUUGAUUGUGGCCAAGGUGAAGCGCUUGUGGGAGCAGGUGAAUGAGUGUUUAUAUUUAGUAAAAAAGAUUCUAGUAUUUUAGCUUUGCUUUUUGUUUGUGAGGAAUCAAAUUUUUUUGAUGUUUGAUUCCAGUGGUUCAUAGCUAUGUAUUUUUAAGGGUUCUACUUGGUAGGAAUUCAUGUACUAGAAUGGAUUGUUUUGUUAGGAUAUUAAGGAAACUUGAUUUGAAGUAAGACACAACACUGAGCCCCACUUAUCAAAUCACUCAUAUCUACUUAAUAGUGUCACCUGUGACUGAUACUACUGCACUGAAAUUUCUCUACCUGGUGAGUUUGCUGCAGUGGUGCAGUACCUUCAAUUAACUUAGUGUUUUUCCAUUUUUGAAUCUGCUGAGCAAUUACGGCUUUCAACCCUGUCUUCCUGUUGAUCUGCAUGUGUUUUCCUGCAAUUAGUUGCAAAAAGAGAAGAAACGAAAAUUCAUUUGCCUAGUCAAGAGACUGGCAAAAUUUGGAAAAUGAAUAGAGUAUUAGCAGACAAAUUUGGAGUAUUCUUUAGUUCGCAAGAAAGGCUGUCAUCUAUAUGCACACAGAAAACCAAACCAAAUCAGUCCGUUUUCUUGAGGUAUUCGAUGUCGCAUACAGUUUUUUUUUUUUUUUUUUUUUGUUGAUGAAUUGACUCCUCUUUGUUCUCUGCUGGUCCACACAUUAUGUGCUUUCUUGGCUGAUUAAGUCAUGGUAAAGUCUCUUCUACUCUGAUUGCCCUUAAUUGGUAAUUCUUUGUAGGAUGUUAAUGAUGGAUAUGCACCUGAUACUUUUCUUGAUGGCUAUAGGUCCUGGAGAUGUUGUGGCCGAGUAUUAUCAGCAGCAGGUGGAAAUGCUGGAGGGUUUUAACGAAAUGGAUGCCUUGACAGAUCGGGGAUUUCUGCCUGGAAUGUCAAAGGUUGGCAUUCUUACUCUCAAUGCUAGCCUUUUCAUUUAUUUAGUUUUAUGAUGGUAUGAAGAAACUUUUUACUUUUAUAUCUAUCAUUAACUAUAAUGAUUGUCGCAUUCAGGAAGAGCGUGAAAAAGUUGCUAAAAGUGAGACUCUGGCCAUUCGAUUAUCAAAUGUUGCAAACAUGGUUCUAUUUGCUGCAAAAGUCUAUGCUUCAAUAAGGAGUGGUUCGUUAGCUAUUAUUGCAUCCACAUUAGAUUCUCUACUUGAUCUGUUAUCUGGGUUUAUCCUGUGGUUUACUGCAUUCUCUAUGCAAACUCCAAAUCCCUACCACUACCCUAUUGGGAAAAAACGCAUGCAGCCGCUGGUACGUUUCCUUCAAAAUUGGAUCUAACUGAUCUUUCUGAAAAGAAAUGCAUUAUUUUCCUUCAAGAAGUUCUUAUUUAUUCGUUUGUUGCCUAAUCCUGAUAUUGUAGUAAAGUGCUUAUAUUUUACCGUUGUCACCAACAGCUGAUAUUAUCCUAAUCCUUUUUUUCUUUUCUUUUUUUUUUUCAUAAUUACAACCAUUUGUCUAUGGCUUUCUUCUAAUGUUUGGAAUGUCAGUUUUGCUGCCCAAAGAGUGUAUAGUCUUUUCAACUGUUUGAGCUGCCUGUUAUUUCGAUUUCAAAUUUUGCUGGAAACUGUUUCCAAGUUUUCCAAAAGGAUCUAAACAAAUGUUCAUAACUGAGACAACCAUAAUAACCUUAUUUUCACAACAUUUUGAUUUAACGCAUGGUGUUUAAUACUACUUUUAUGAAGCUUUAUGUCUAAUUUUCAUGCUAUUGUGUAUAGAUGAGUCGAAACUUUAGACUUUAUUGAGAUUCUUUUUGGUUUUUAUGAAAAUUUAUUUACCUCUAGUAUAAAAUAUAAAUGCGUUACAAUUUUUGUUCUCUUAUUAUCAGCGUUUUAACUAGGACCAGAAUUUCUCAGUUUGUUUUUCUAGGUCAAGCAUCAUGUGUCUUUCUAAGCUAUUGAACAAUCAUGGUUAUAUUGGCCUGGAAUGGCUAGUUUGAUGUGGGAAGCAUCAUAUUCAUGGUUGUUGAAAGAGGACCUGUUACUGAUCUCAACUUUGGUGUAAUCUCUUUUUGGUUUUGCUUGUUUAAGAAGAUACUGAGCCCCUUAGGUAUAUCAAUGCAUCAGCUGUGUUCUUCAGUUUCGCCGGGAAACCAAACCAAGAUGAUCAAACUAAAACGUUCCAUUUUGGUUCAAACUUCAAAGCCUAUGAAAUCAUGCUAUUCCUUAACGUCUAAACAUUUUUUGUGCUUUCUUCUUAGCCCUCAAUGGAAUUUUCUAUAGAAUGAUUUUGUUUUCUUUUAUGUGAUCUAUAAAUCCUAGUUCUAGGCAUUUCAUAGAAGCAUCAUUCUAAUUCUCCUUUUUUUAUCGUGAGGAUGCUUUUUUUCGCCAGUCCACAAGAUUACUCAAAGCAAAUAUUUUGUGCAGGGGAUUCUAGUUUUUGCCUCUGUUAUGGCAACACUUGGUCUCCAAAUAAUCUUAGAGUCAGUGCGCUCUCUAAUAUCUGAUGUAAGUGUAUAUUCUUCUCCUUGCUUUUAAACAGACAUUUUUCUUUUUUAAUGAGAUGUUUGGUUUUCAUGCCUAUGUUUUUGUUUUGAUAAGAUUUUUUUUUUUUAUUUACCCUUUUCAAAUGAUUAAAGUGCACCAGGGGUCCCCAAGAUUUUUACGAGGCUUCAGUUUGGUCCCCAACUUCUCAAUUGUCAUCGAGUUACCUUACUUUUGCACUUCGUCACAAUUUUGUUCAUUUAAAUUUCUUGGUUCAGUUGAUGGGAAUUCGCAGUAACCACCAUAUGGGAAGUUAAGCUGAAAUUUAAAGGUCAUAGGGGCCUAAUAGUAACAAUUAAAAGGGUUGGGAUUAAACUGAACCUGUGAAAAGGCUGAGGACCUCUUUUGCAAUUUACCCCUAUUCAAGCAGGCGUACAUGCUCUCAGACAUGAAAAAUCUUGUCCAACUUCUACUUGCUGAAGAAUUCAUUAUUAUCUUGUGAUCCUAAGUUUCGCUCAUCUUAGUUCAUGCUUGUUAACUAAAAUGGAUGCAUAAAUGCAGGAAAAUCAGUUCAGCUUGACGAAUGAACAGGAGAAGUGGGUGGUAGACAUCAUGCUAUCUGUGACAUUGGUGAAGCUCGCGCUUGUCAUAUACUGUCGCUCAUUCACAAAUGAAAUUGUUAAGGCUUAUGCACAGGACCAUUUCUUCGAUGUGAUCACCAAUGUCAUCGGCCUUGUUGCUGCACUUCUCGCCAAUUAUGUUAUAUAUUGGAUCGACCCAGUUGGAGCUAUCAUUGUAAGUGGAAGCCAUCAUUAUCUCCUUUUUUUUAUGUGGCACACAUUUCUGACAUUUAAUUAGGUAUCCUCUCUUGAUUAACUAAUCGUCUUUUGAAUAUUUUUUUAGUCAAAUCUAUAAUCCAUGAAACCAACUUCGAAGAAAUAUUGUGAAUAUACCACUUUUAUGUGUUCUAGUGGUAUCAUCUGAUUUUACUACGCUUUACCACAAGGCUUCAUUGUGAUUGGCCAUCACAUUCCACUAAAAUUGAGCACCUACAUUCAUGUGUAUUAUGUCAAUAAUUUUGUAAAUGAGGAUUUAACUAUCCAAAAUCAGUAAUCAUCCUUAUUUAGUCUCCUUUUUUUUCAGAAAAAAUUAUAACAAGCCAUGUGAUUGUUAGGUGCUCAAUUGUAAGUUCUAGUAAGAACCAUUGGUAUUAAAGUAAGAUCAGGCUAUACCAUGAGGAGGUAUCUGAAGUUCUCGAUUUAAGAUGCAAGCUACUUUAUGAAGAGAGACUUGUACCAUAAUAUGCAAAUGGAUGGUGAUCUGAAUUUUUUUUUGUUAAAUCUCUGCAGCUGGCGUUGUACACGAUCCGCACAUGGUCGGCGACUGUGCUCGAAAAUGUGAACUCCUUGGUGGGCCGGUCUGCUGCGCCGGAGUUCCUGCAGAAGCUAACUUACCUCUGCUGGAACCACCAUAAGGCCAUCAGGCACAUCGACACGGUGCGCGCCUACACCUUCGGUUCGCACUUCUUUGUGGAAGUGGACAUUGUCUUGCCCUCCGAAAUGCCCCUUCGCGAGGCCCAUGACAUCGGGGAGUCACUGCAGGAGAAGCUGGAGCUGCUGCCCGAAAUCGAGCGCGCGUUCGUCCACCUCGACUACGAGUUCACUCACAGGCCCGAGCACGCCCAGGCCCACGAUUCGUAGGCCCGAUCGGCUCACGAAAGCGAUUUAGUUCGCCGGUAGUUUUAAUUUUGGUCUUAUAGUGAUCUUGUUGCGAUUUACGAUGAAAUUGUAUAUUUAAGCAUGUUCUGUAUGUCUAUGAUCAGAAUUUUCACUUUCAGCUAGUGUUUCUUUACUGGUGCUGGUCUACCUUGGCCUCAUCAGUGACAACAAUUAGUUACGUUGGUUGUACCUGGUCUACCGUGUUAGCAGCGAACAACACUGAAGUAAAUUAUCGCCUGAACCUGGUUCACCAACUCUGUGAAUUGCUAUGGUUAAAACUUAAAAGGCGGCGCAUGCGCCCAAAUGCGGGGCACUGUGAUUUUGGAAUCCCCUCAGCAAAACAGCUCUAACAAUAGAGACUGAUGAGACUGGCGGUGCAUGGCUGAUGCUGUGCACUGGGUGUAGGCAAUAAUUUCUCUCCGUUCAUUGGGGUGGUAAUCUAGCAAAGAGUUAUAGCGAGAAGAAGCAACAACCAAAAAAAAAAAAAAGAAAAAAAGGAGAAAUUUACGCACAGAAAAAAGAAUCAAGCUUCUGUAUUUUUAAAAAUAUUAAGUUAUUGAUGUUUAUAGAUUUUCGGCUCUUGGAUUAAGGGGUGUGCAGUUAGGAUAAUAGUGGCCCCCUAAAAAUGGAGAAGGUAGUUGAUUGAAUAGUAUGAUCUAAAGAAAAAAAUAAUAAUAAUAAAAAAUUUACAAAUAUAUCUAAGUAUUUGAUACUUUUAAAAGCGUCGUAAUCGAAUUCCACAAGAAAAAUAGCUGGUCUUCAAUUACUUAAAGACGGAUAGCUGUUAUUCUCACCGUUCAGAUGUAACAUGUGAGUUGCCCCUUUUUUUAAUUUUUAUUUAUUUUUUGGUGGUGUAGAGAUUGUAUUGCUUCUAACCGGUCAAUUUGUGAUGUGAACUUCUAUAAAGUUGGUUGAAAAAGCGUGCAAGUUUGUCCUACUAUUUAUAACAUUGAGUGAAUAAUAAAGUUCAUAAAAAUUUAUUUUAACAUAAAUAUUUUUUUGAAAUUGAUAUUUACGCGCAUAUCUUUUAAAGGCCUUGCUCGUGCGUGUAUAAUCAAUUAGGAGUAUGCAUGCAAAAUUUAGAGAAACACCUGCAAAUGUUUCUUUUUCUUCCGUAGAUAUCGGCAACAGCAACCCUGGAGCAACCACACAUGCAAGUGAUCCCUCUCAUUAAUUUGAAAAUGGCACAAUAUAUGGUAUUAACAAGAAUAAAACAUAAUUAUUUCUUUUUUUUUUUUUUUUUCUCUAAAGUUCUAGUGCAAAUAUUUAGACAUUCUUUAAAGCGAUGUGACUAAAAAACGGACGCCCAAUACAAAGGACAAAAAUUUGGUGGGCAUCGUCCCCAAACAAUUUUGUUUGGGGACGAUGCCGUGCGGCGCCCACCGCGACCCUUGAAAACGGCCAAAAACAAAAAAAAUAAAAUAAAAAUUGUGGGCUCCGUUUUUUAGAAAGAGAGAGAAAAAGGGGAAAGAGGCGGUGGCGAUGGGCGCCCGUAUACACACGGCACACGGUGCCCAUCGGCUCUGUCCCUAAACAAAUUGUUUGGACGGAUGCCCACCAAAUUUUUGUCCCAAUACAAACAUCAUGGAUACAGUACACUGCAGGAAAAAUAUGAUUAGAUGCUCAUACACCCACACAUCAAGCGACACCUCCCAAGUGCCUCCUCUAUUGUGAAUUAGGGUCGCAGGUCAAAUUUACUAAAUUUAGACAAAUUUAUUUAGAGCUUGUUUGGUUGCUCAUAAAUUACCGAGGUAAUUAAAAUAAAUCACUUCAAAAAAAUCGGUUACUUCUAAAAAAGAAAAUUUUAAAGUGAAAAAAUAACUGUAAUCCGUAGCAAUUGUUGUUUGGUUAUUUCUGAAAAAGUCAUUUUAAAAAUUGUAAUUUAAAUUGAAAAUGCACAAUUGAAUUCCUAAAUUAAAUUUAAAGUUCAAAUUAGAACUCUUGACUGAAAUCAAUUUUAUGAAUCAAAUUUCCAUUUAAAUUUAAAACUAAAAUUUCAGUUGAGAUUGAAAUUUAAUAAAAUUUAUAUUUCAACAAGUUUAAUUAAUUAAAUUUCAAUUCAAAUUUGCAUUUUCAAUUAGAUCUUAAAAGUACAAAUUCAAACUUGAUUCAUAAUUCGAAUGUAAACUCUGAAUUUAAAGAUAGAUUCAAAAUUCAUAAUUCAAUUCAUAAUGUAUAAUUGAACUCACAAUUUGACUUGAAAGUUCAGAUUGAAAGUUGAAACUCCUAACUAGAUUAAACUUAUAAAUUGAAUUAAAAUUUAUAUAUUUAAACUUAAACUCGCAGGUUGAAACUUAAAUUCAAAAAUAAACCCAAAAUUAAUAGUUGAAAUAAAAUUUGAAUACACAUGUUGUGUUCAAAUCUAGUGCUUUGAAAUUAAAAUAAUAAUUUAAAUUUGAAUUUUAUAAUUUAAAAUUCGAAAUGCAAAAUUAAAUUUACUGUUCAAAUUCAAAUAACUUGAGUAGACGUUGAAAAUCAACUAUUAAGAACAAAAUCUAUUUACACCUCUUUACAUGGGUUGUUAACUAUUGAAUUUUGAUAACUAUGAAGUUUUUUGGGUCAAAAUUAAAAAAAAUAAUUUUUUUACUUUUUUUAAAAAAUACCAUUUUUGCCUCUUCACUUAGGGACAACCAAAUAUCACCUUACACACCCUCCCCACCAAAAAAAAAAAAAAGGGAUUCAUUGAAUGUUGGAAAAUAAAUGAAUCUCUAUUUCAACUUUAAUAUGUCACAUGAUGAAAUAUUCAUUGAAUAUUGAAAAAUAAAUGAAUCUCUAUUUCAACUUUAAUGUGUCAUAUAUGAUGAAAUAAUAGCACUGCUUUAAUGGCCUUGGACUGGUGCAAAAAGACAUGGCCAUGCAUCCGGAAUAUGGCCAACUUGUUAUCCAGUAGCAUCCGCCACAAAUGGGGAUAAAACUAACUUCGGUAAAAGGGGCUUUUUUCAAUUUAGCCCUUUGACAAAUUUUUAUUUUAAAAUAGUCCUAUCAAAAUUUAAUUUGUAAAAAUAGUUUUGCUCCUGCUACUGCCACACAGGCGCUACAUCAGCGCCACGCGGAUAGGGCUGAGGCCAGUGUGUUAAGUUGAACACGGUGAACUAUUCACCGUGUUCUUUCUCCGUAUUUCAUAUUUAUAUUCAUUUUCUUCUCUUUUAGGGAUGUCAACGGGUCGGAUUUGGAUUGGAUUUUUAAAAACUCGAAAUUGAAUCCGAAAAUCAAAUUAAAACCCAAACACGAAUCCGAGCCCUACGGGUUUUAAAAAUCCAUAUCCAUAUCCAUAUAUUAAAGUUAUAUAGGUAUAAAUUUUUAAAACCCGCAUUCGGAGAUCCAAAUCUGACCCAUUGACAUCCCUAAAAGAGAAGAAAAGGAAUAUAAAUAUGAAACACGAUGAAUGAUUCAACGUGUUCAACUUAACACACUGGCUCCAGCCCUGCUCGUGUGGUGUUGACGUAGUGCCUGCAGGGUCAUGGCCAUUUUUGCAAAUUAAAUUUUGACAGGACUAUUUUUAAAAUAAAAUUUUUUCAGGGGGCCAUUUGCAAAAAAAACCCUCGUAAAAUGCUCCAAAUUAUCGUUUUGUUGGAAAAAUCUUUAUUUGCUAUGUAUUAGUUUUGCUUUCAUUCAAAAUUUCUUUUAAAUUUUUAAUACUAAAAUUUUAAAAAUAAAAUUAUAAUUAUUAGAUAGAAGAUAAAAUUAAUAUAUCGUUGUUGACGGAUGACUUCUCAAUAAGGCGUGCUGAGAGUUUCCCACCGAAUUUUUUUCAACAAAUGCUAACACCUGUCUAAAUUUCCGCAUAUACUUCUAAUAUGCGGAGACCGUGGACCUUAUAAAAAAAGCACCAAUCAAUCCUCUUGCUUUUAAAAUUAAAUCCUAAGCUCUAGCACAAUGACACAAACUAAGAAUUCUAGUAUUAUUUAUUAUUCAUUUUUAAUAUAAUCGCAUUUUUCCGUGCCAGGUUCGUCAAAACGCAACAAGACGGGCUACCGGUCCAGGUUCAUCCUAUUUCUCUCAACACGGAUCGCAACGAGGAGGACUUACUACCGUGUCUAAUUUGUGCAUGUGAAAUGUGCUACGCGCACCCCAUACAGUACCCUGGUUAAGGUUUGGGUGGCUAGAGAGUCAAAAUUUACGGUAAGGACAACGUUAACGCUGAAAUUAUUUAUUGGCUUAAACAAAAUUUAAUAAAUUUUGAUUUGCACUUAAUUUAAAAAAAUCAUGCAAAUGGUAUGCUUUUAAUCUCAUAAAUCAGAUUUAAUCAUCGAGGCAGCGACUUGGAGGUACUGGCCAUUGUUUAACUAUAAUUUUUUGAAAAUUUUCGAAAUCUUAUUCUACAGUAUAAUUAUGAUAUAAUAAAGUGUUACUUGUGUAAUAUUAGGGAGAGAAGUUCCGAUCAAAAAUUUUGUCGAAUUAUUAAAAUUUCUGCUCAGAACUUUGUUUUUAUUCUCUGUCGGAACGAGUUAAUCUUUUAAUUAAAAUAGCAGCGGAGAGAGCCAAAACAUAUUGUGAAGUUUGAACUGGGUACAUAUUUGGGUACGUCAAGCAACUUCCCCGGAUAUAUAAUAAACGUGGUCGUAGGAAGCAGCACACGGCUACGGGUCACACAAACGAAGGAACGAUAGAGGCACACGAUAUGACCCUGUGCGCGGGUUAGUUAUUAAUCGCUGAGUUUUGUUGUCACAUGCAACACCUCUCUCCGUCUCGUGAUUGGUGAGGAAGGAGAAAAGAGGCGAUUCGGAGUAUUGGGAGAUCGGGGGGUGGGUCGUGGUGGGGGAGAGAUUUAUUUGAUUCUCCCGCUUCACAAAAUGCAGCGAUCGUCGUACGCCUCCUCCAGCGUCGGCGACAUCGUCGCCGCCGCGGGCUCCGUCUCUGGCGGCGGAGGAGGAGGGGCGAGGACGGUGCGGGUGAUACCGCUCCAGCACCCGUCGUCCUCGGCGCCGGCGACGCCGUCGCCGCCGCUACACGCCCGGUGGGCGGCGAAGCUCCGCCGCAUGGGCGCCGGCGAGUGGCUCGAGCUCCUCCUCCCCUGCUCCCGGUGGCUCCGCACCUACCGGUGGCGCGAGUGGCUCCAGGCCGACGUCAUGGCCGGCGUCACCGUCGGCGUCAUGCUCGUCCCCCAGGUGCGAUCUCCCUCUCGCCGAUCUCUCAAUCUCCAUCUCCAUCUCGAUCCCGAUCGAAGAGGAAGCUGGGGUAAAUAGUUGAUUAGAUGUGUUAUAGUGGAAUCGAGUAGUAGUUUCGUUGCUUAAUUUGGAAUGCUAGGGUUUACGUUGUAUGAAGUUAGAAGUAUUGUGAUUCGUCAGUUUGUUUUUGGGAAUGGUGUGAAUAUAAGUUUUGAUUGAAGCGAAUCUUUGAGUGGAAUGAGUGCGAAAUUUUGAUUCCUUUUUUACCUUUUUUUUCCCCUUAAUAUGCAAAAUUUAGGCUAUGUCCUACGCGAAGUUAGCUGGGCUUCAUCCUAUAUAUGGGCUUUGUGAGUAUAAUUCCUUUUGUUCUUACCAUAUUAAGAUUCUUCUAUUAAAGUAUGAUGAUCUGCUUUUUUUUUUUUCCCUUUUUUUUUGUUGUUAUUGCCGAUGAUCUUCUUUUAUUCUGGUUAAACAAACAGAUUCAGGAUUUGUACCAGUAUUUGUUUAUGCGAUUUUUGGAUCCUCGCGUCAGCUAGCGAUCGGUCCUGUUGCUUUAGUGUCUCUUUUGGUGUCGAAUGUCCUUGGUAGCAUUGUUGAUUCCUCUAAUGAGCUUUACACGGAACUCGCAAUACUGUUGGCUCUCAUGGUUGGGGUAUUGGAAUGUCUCAUGGGUUUGUUAAGGUAACCAAAUAGCAACUUCAGAUGUUUUACUGCUAUGUUUAUCGUCCCUUUGAUGUGUUGAAAUACAAAUAGAUCAAGGAGAUUGCAGUUCCAAACGUAUUGGCGGCAAUCUCUUGAGCAUUCAGUUUCCAGUUCUUGCAGAUAGUUGGCACAUGCUUUAGAUAGAAUUUCUAAUUUCUGAUGCACUGCCUGUUUGGCUUGGCUUGUGGAAUAGUUUCUCUACCCUAGAAAGUAACGAUAACUAAAAUUAUCUUGUGAUUUUGUAAGUAGAAGCUCUAAUUUGGAGCUUCUAGUUUUACUGUGGUGAGAAGCCGUUAAGGAGAUUUUCAAAGCUUCUUUAUACUUCUUUACUCAAACAGCACUGUAGUGGAAGCGCCAAGCAAACUAUUCUGUAGACUUUCUCUAGCUUUUAUUGUAACUUGCCAUAUUAAGCUAAAUACUGCUUCAAGUUAGAAAUUUGUAGCAGUUUAAACUUGUGUAAUGAUGUAAUCUAACUCAUAUCUUGCAUCCUCUAUAGGCUUGGGUGGCUUAUCCGUUUCGUAAGCCAUUCUGUAAUAUCCGGCUUCACGACUGCAUCAGCCAUCGUCAUUGCCUUGUCUCAAGUGAAAUACUUCCUGGGAUAUGAUGUAGUAAGAAGCAGCAAAAUUAUCCCACUAGUCAGGAGUAUCAUUGCUGGAAUUGGUGAUGUAUGCUUCUCGCAUCCUGGUGAUUAUUUUGUUGCUUAUUUUUGAGCAAAUACCUGAUUCUUGAUACGAUCUUCUUCAUGUCUGUAUAUAUUGUUUUACGACUUCUCGAAGUUGUCUGGUUGUUGCGCUAUCUACUUUAGGAUGUACAAUCUCAUACUUGUAAUAGAUUGUGAGCUAUUAAUCAAUCUGUCAAUGCUCAAAUUUUUGUUUAAUAUGCAGUAGAAUGAAAAGAAACUGUAUGUAUUCCAAUUAUUCCAUAGUAGAAACUGUAUAUGUGUGUUUCCCCAUCCAAGCUACCUGCUACAUUUGUAAAUUUUUCUAGAAAAGCUCAGUGAAGCAUUCUUGAAGAGAUUUGUGUCAAGAAUAUGUGAUUUUACGUUCAUUCCACAGCCUGCUUUCUGAGCAGUUCAUAGAAGUUAAAGCUUUAAGAAAAUAGAGGAGAACAACAAGAAAGAGUAGGCGGAUCCACUCUGACUAUUGCGUUUAGUGAGAUAAGCCUCAUUAUUCCACCUUUUCUUCUUUUCCAGUGGGAAGGGCCUCUAUACCCAUAACUGCCGUAAUGCUGUGACAGAUAGACUCGACAUAGGUGCUUGUCUUGCCUAUGAUAGUCCCUGACUGUUGAAGGAGAUCUGUUAAACUGAUCCUUUUAGUUCUUCUCUUGAAAAAUUUUGAGCCGAGGAUUAUUGUAUCCUUUUUGGAACUGAAAUUGUCUCAAUUUUUUUCCCUUUUUUUAGACUACACGUGCUUUCUUUGUUUAGCUCAUAAAUAUUGAUAGGUUGUAUAUAUCUUGCUUGCUUAUGAGCUUUUUAAUUGGGCUAAUAUCCCUCCUUAUAUUUCACCUCUAUAAUCUUAUAAUAUAUUUAUGAUGACAUUCAAUUUACUAAUCUUUUGCAGCAGUUUCAUUUUUGUAGUUUUCCUGGCCCCCGUUUGUACUGGGAUGUUCUUUUCUUGCAAUUCUUCUUCUCAUGAAGCACAUGGUAAGAAUUGUCUUUCACUUCCUUUGAAUUUAGAUUCAAAUCAAUUUCCACCUGAAAAUAAUUAAUACACUCUUAACUAACCCACCACAUGUGGUAGGGGAAAUCAAGUAAAAGAUUGCGGUACUUCAGAGCUGCUGGACCCCUUACAGCAGUUGUACUGGGAACACUCAUUGUCAAGAUAUUUCAUCCGUCUUCAAUCUCAGUAGUAAGAUGUACUUCAUUUGAAAUAUUACGUUAUGUUUUACCACGGCUGUUGUUCUCAGAUCUUCAACUGUAACAAUUUGGUCCCUGAAAUCUGACCUUGAUUCUAAUUUCAUCAUAAGAAUUUCAAUCUGGUCCUUGUGGUUUGAUGUCUAUUUCCAUUUAAUGACUGAAAAUCGGUCUUUAUUUAGAUUUCAUCCACGUAGUUUCAAUUUUAACUAGGGAAUGCAUGACAGUGGUCCUACUUGACACUUUUUCAGAUGGUAGACCGCAAAACUUAAUCAUGCAAACUUCCUUCAGGGACUAUAAUUGUUACAAUCGAAAACAUGUGGAUGAACUAAAAUUUAUUCUUCAGCAUGAUUUAUGUGAAAUGCGAAGUCCAAAUUGUAUCACAAUAUCUGACUUGUUACUGUUUUUAGGUAGGUGAAAUUCCCCAAGGCCUUCCAAAGUUUUCUAUUCCUAAAGGAUUUCAACAUGCGAAGUCUCUCAUUUCAACAGCACUUCUUAUUACUGGUGUUGCUAUAUUGGUACAAACAAUUUUCUUUUGACUGUGUUCUAACUUUGACGCUUAUUGCCAUUUGUAGGUCUCAUUGCCAUAAGCACUUAUAUAUUUUUAUUUUUUGUGAUUUAGGAGUCUGUGGGGAUAGCUAAAGCCUUAGCUGCUAAGAAUGGAUAUGAAUUGGACUCGAACCAAGAGGUAAUCAUAUCAUAUGCUUUAGCCCAACUAUAGCUGUUUGCAAUCACUUUGUCGCAACGUUCAAUUAUAGUUCUGAUGUCUUUAUUUUUUCGUGACAUUUUUAAUUAUCUCGAACAGAUUAGGGGCAUGAAAGCUUUAAUACUUUUUUAACGUAUCAUAUGUUAACUUCGAAGAUUCAUAUACAAUUCGACAUACAUAAAUGUGUACAUACAUGCAUAUACACUGCAACUAUGAAUUUUUGUAUGCAACACUCUGUGAUGCGUACACAGAAGAAAAGUUUGGAGAAGCAAAAAUCCUUAGGAAGUGUUUAAGAGAUGACUGGAUUCCAAAAAUGGCCAAGAACAACUUAGAUGGUAAUAAUUUUUGGUCGGUAUUCAGCAGUAGAAGUGUGAAAAGAAUACAGCCUAGAAGAUUUACAGAAGUAUAUUGCUGGCGUGACAUUUAAUUCUAUGCAUAUCUGAAUCAGUUUGUGUUAUGUAACUAAUGGAAAGAAGUCACGCCAUGUUCUUUUACUUGAGGAUUCUAAUUUGCAUUCAGAUGGCCCAGUUUUAUAUUGGCUAUUUAGUUCCAUGACUGACUAAAAGGAUUGCUACAUUUUUCACUUCAUUUGAUGAAAUUCUUCCGCUUAUCAUUUGCAGUUAUUUGGUCUCGGUGUUGCAAACAUAUGUGGCUCAUUCUUUGGUUCGUACCCUGCCACUGGUAAGAUACUAAUCCUGUGUAUAUUACAAGGUCUGACUAAUGUUUACUUUUUAUUCUUUGCAUUUCCAGAUAAAAACAGUUAAACCUAGGUUUGAGCUAGCGUGAGUUAGUGAGAUGGAGUCUCACUAUUUUUUAUGCAGGUUCAUUUUCCAGGUCAGCUGUAAAUCAUGAGAGUGGCGCACAGACUGGAUUAUCUGGAAUUACUAUGGGCAUUAUAAUGGGUUGUGCCCUUAUGUUUAUGACACCAUUAUUCAGUGACAUACCUCAGGUAUAACUUUUAAAACUGCAUAUCCGAUAGUAUUAGCUAUGAACUUUUCAUGCAUACUAUUACUAUCAUAUUGAGGCCAUCUUUUCAAUAACAAUAUUUCUCUAUUGAUUAAGCAAUAAUAUGACUGAUUAGUAAUACUGCUAUCUUUACUCAAAUUCAUAGUUCAAUGUUGCUAGUUUACCUUGUCAUGUCUAAUUGAAUUCCUCUGUUAACAUCAUUUCAUAGCAGGAACUAAUUGUGAAAUUGUAGCAGUGAAGAACUAAUUAAAUAUUACUAGUUCUUUUGUUUUUUCCAUGUAAUCUCUUUCUUAUAUGCUUUCACAAUCAUGUAACAUAUCUGCUCACUGUUGAUUUGCUUUUCUCUGUAUUAGUGUGCCUUGGCUGCGAUUGUGGUUUCUGCUGUCAUGGGCCUUGUAAGGAUCUCUCACGCCUAAUUUCUUUUCUAUAUAGUUUAGAAUAAUUUACAGAUCUCUUAUGUUGAUCAAUCAAAUCUGAAAUUCUUUUUAUAAGAAAAGAAGUUCCUCAUCAUUAUUGGUGUAAUGUGCUACGUACUUUAGGGCAGCUAAAUAACCGUUGUUUUUCAAAAUCUGAACAGUCAUAGUAUAUAGGCAUUAUAUUGAUGAACAAUCUUUGUUGAUGGCUUGUUCUAUUAAGUUGGGUAGUGUAAUUCGUUCUCUAAUCCAGCUCAGGUUUAAUUCAUUUGAUUUGGCUUGACGUAGGAGUAUUUUCCAGUUUAGUUGUUUACUUGGGUGGAUCUGGUUGAAGUCGAGCCAAAAUGAAGCAAUUAACACAACUGGCUAUAUCUUAUCAAGAUCGAGUUUGAGUAACCACUUAGUCUUAUUUGGAUUUCUAGAUGGCUUGUGAAUUCACUCUUCCAUUCUUUGAAGCCCGGUUGAUGGAUUUCUAAUUCUUUCACCUUAUCAAUGUAAAUUUCUGAAAUGCAUUUGUUGCCAUGAAUUAUUAUUGAUAACAGUACUCUGUGGUCUUGAUCAUAAAAGCCUCAGAGGCGUCCUUGCAUUGUAGAAUUGCAUCACCUUGUUAUGUUACUUCAUCUGAAAAAUUCACAAUCAGCUGGCUAUGUUUAAAUGAAAAGCUCUUACCUAACAAAAUUGUAGCCCCAACAUCCUCAAAUAAUUCUCCUAAACCCACCAUUAAAUUAGUUACAGUGCUUUUGUUUUGAAACAAAAAACAAUAGAAAAUAAAGAAAAACUCAAACAACUUGAGAUUGAAACUAGAUAUGACUGUCUGACUGAGUUGUAGUAAAACGUAAAAGCUCAUAUUUAAUUGUGACUUCAGUCUUUGCCUGCCUUUUGAAGAUUUUGAUUGUUUUUACUUGUAACAUACAUAAUAUCUAUGAUUUAUAGGUUGAUUACGAGGAAGCCAUGUUUCUGUGGGGUAUAGAUAAGAAAGAUUUUCUCCUCUGGACAAUCACUUGCGUCACAACUUUAAUAUUUGGUAUUGAGAUAGGCGUUCUUGUGGGGGUAAGUAUUGAAGUUGCUCCAUGUUCUCAGAUGUCGUUCAAUUGAUGAGCAUCUUUUUUGAUUAAAAUGUGUUCUCCAAAGGUUUAAUAUUAUUUACUGAUGUUUAUACGGAGAAGACUACAAGCAUGAUUCUUUUUUAACUAGUUCGAUGGUGCUUGUUUUUCUCUUUUGAAAAUAACAUUGUAUGAUCAUAUAGUAAGAUAUAUAUGUUGACCCCUUAAAGAAGAGGCCGUUUUGAUAUAGAUCCCCCAUAUCCAAAAAAAUUAAUUAAUAAAUAAAUAAAGUCAGGUCUAUUACAAAGCAGCCUAUAGUUGAGGUAGUCUCUGCAUUUUCACCUAUCAUUUGUUACAUGUUUUGAGCCCAAUAUGCAUCUUGGAGGUCUUCAAUGUAACAGUUAUAUAUCUGGUUUCCAGGCUGACAUGUGGAACCAUGACACAGAAGGAUGCUAGGACAUUUGUACUCAAAUUAUCAUUUUAUUGUGUGGUAAUCAUAAUCGUAAUGUUGUGAGUUGAACCGAUUCUUUUGUAGGUUGGGUUCUCACUAGCAUUCGUCAUACAUGAAUCAGCAAAUCCCCAUAUAGGUGAGUAUCUUCUGAGAAUUCCGAAAUCAUAAGAUUUCAGAAUUAUUAAUAAGCAAUAUUCCAAAAAUGAACUCAAGCGCGAUUAUGAAAGCCUGUGUUGAUCAUGUGCUAGUUAUUUUGUUUAUUGAUUUGCUGUAGCUGUUUUGGGGCGUCUUCCUGGGACUACCAUCUAUAGAAACACUCUGCAGUAUCCUGAAGCAUAUACGUAUGGCGGGAUAGUUGUGGUUCGAGUUGAUGCACCAAUUUACUUUGCAAACAUAAGUUAUAUAAAGGACAGGUGGAAUAUCUGAAGCUCUAGAUUUUUAUCGUCUAAUUAUAUAUUGUUAGAUGUGAGUUAUUCAUUGCGUACUGAUAUCACUGUUCCAACUUAUGUAUCAGGCUACGUGAAUAUGAACUCAACAUUUCAACCACAAGUCGAGGACCAAAUGUUGGAAGGAUUUACUUUGUUGUCCUUGAAAUGUCACGUAAGUAAUCGGAAUUUUCUUCCAUGUAUAAGCCUUUUCUUUUAAAGAAUGACAAGCAAAAAUAGCAAUGAAAUUUUGGCGAGAAGGAUUGCUCGAGCUACCGAGUAAUUAGGCUUGCUUGAGCUAUCAAGUAAUUAGGUGGGUGGUAUUAUCAACAAAGCAAAUUUUUUGUAUUUAUAGAGGGAAUUUAAUACAGUCACUAUUAAGCCUCAUAGGCAUAUAUUACAUGAAAGGGACUCUUUCAUAAUUUUAUUUCCACAUCAAGCUCAGCCAAAUUUAGUUUUUAUGCUUUGUUUGGAUGGAGAGAGGAGGAGAGAAAGGAAGAGAAAAGAAAAGGAGGGAAAAAAAAAGAAAGUAAUUCCUCUCCUGAUGUUUGGAUAAACAGAUGAAAAGAAGAGAACUUUCUCUCCGUUCCCCCCCUCAUUUGGAGAGAAAAGAAACUGUCCAUUAUGGAAGGUCAUUUAUUUUCUUUCCAUUUCUUUUUUUUGUGUCCUCAAGUUUCGAUCCAAAGAGGAAAAAUCAUUCUUUCCUAAUUUUCGUCACUUUUUUCUCCUUUUCUCUCCAUCCAAACGGGUGUGUUAGUGACCGAUUCAAUAGUAGACUAACAGGACCAGUCAAAUUUCUGCAGCUGUUACAUACAUAGACUCUAGUGCCGUUCAAGCUCUGAAGGACUUGCAUCAGGAAUACAAAGCACGCGACAUCCAGGUAUAUUUCCAACCUUCGAGUAAUAACUUUUAGUACCGUGUGUCCUCUUUCAAAAAUAACAGGGCCUUUUAUUACCUUUGGAUCCAUUCUUUCCACAGAUUGCAAUAGCUAACCCGAAUCGGCAAGUUCAUUUCUUACUAUCAAGAUCAGGCCUGAUAGACCUGAUUGGUAAGGAGUGGUGCUUCGUGAGGGUGCACGAUGCCGUGCAAGUUUGCCUUCAACAUGUCGAGAACUUGAGAGGUAAAGCGCCAAGUGCAGGAGAUCAAACCCCGAGGCGGCAGCUGAGCCUUUUCCAAACUAUGUGGAAGCAAGAUGGGAAAGAUGCUUUGGUUCCCGAAGCUGAGCCCCUCUUGCGCGCAAAUGUCGUAUAAGUGCUUGCAGCGUGCAUGUAUAUUGUUUAAAGAUGCGAAUGUUUUGUUUAUGGGCUUCUUAUAGACAUUGCUAAGCGUUGAUCAUGAUUCUUUUCCAUCCGUACGUACCAUGUCAUCUUACACGUGAUUGUAACAUAUCAUGAUUGUAUUGAACAAUAAUAUGUAAAUAUGAUUUGACUUGAUUCGGGAUUGUACGAUUUGUGCGGGGAGAUAGUAAACUAUCUGACGCAUAUUGGGCGUCUGUAACUAGUACGCGCCAAAACUGUUUAAGCACAACAUCGUUAAUAUUGUUUUUGGGCUCGUAAAUCUCUGAUUUAUUUUCAAGUUACACGGAUCAUUUUAUUAAUGAGCUAUAUGAUGAAAAACAUUAAAUUUGAUUUUUGCGAAUUAGAACCUUCCAAAGAUGCACAAUUAAAAAUAAAUAAGAUAGAAGAAAACAUCACCAGGGCUUCAACUAGCCCGAAUGCAACGAUAUUAAAAUUAAAAGAGUGCAAGAAUUUGGACAUACCAGCUACCUGUUCGACGACGACUAUAUGAAGUGACGCAAUCAAAGCAACCAUAGAGCACACACAAAUCCCAACUACAAACUCUUUCUAGCAAACCAACGAUGUAAAGAAAAUGAGAUUAUACACGGGACAAAGAAGAACACCACAUGAAAGGAUGGAAGGCAAUUAUAAUGCACGCCCAUAGAACUGGGGAGCUCAGAAACAUUUCCUGUGGACGAUCGAUGGGCCAGAUUCAUCAUAUUCUCCCUUAGAAAUCCACAUCUGCAUAAAAAAUAAAAAGACAGAGAAGAGAGAACGUGAUAUUUGUGUACGAAAGUUGUGCAACGGUUAAAAUGACCGGAACAAAAUGGUGAUUGAUUCUACACAAACUAACAGAUUUAUAUAUGUACAAUCUGAAGUCUGCAGGGAUUCAUAUGUAAAAUAUCAAAGAGGACAGAUGUAUCACCUGCUGGAAAGUGCUGAGGGAGGCGAGGAUGGAGCCGCCAAUCCAAACACUGUACUUCCUCUCGGGCGGAGCAACCACCUUAAUCUUCAUGCUGCUCGGGGCAAGAGCUGUUAUCUCCUUGCUCAUCCUAUCAGCAAUACCUGGGAACAUUGUUGACCCGCCACUGAGUACAAUAUUCCCAUAUAAGUCCUUCCUGAUAUCCACGUCGCACUUCAUGAUAGAGUUAUACGUCGUCUCAUGAAUUCCAGCUGCUUCCAUGCCGAUCAACGACGGCUGGAAAAGCACUUCUGGGCACCUGAACCUCUCGGCUCCUAUGGUGAUCACCUGCCCAUCGGGCAGCUCGUAGCUUUUCUCAACAGCAGAACUGGUCUUGGCGGUUUCGAGCUCCUGUUCAAAGUCAAGGGCAACAUAUGCGAGUUUUUCCUUAAUGUCCCUCACAAUUUCGCGUUCGGCAGUUGUUGUGAAGGAAUAGCCCCUCUCAGUGAGGAUCUUCAUUAGGGCAUCAGUGAGGUCGCGGCCAGCGAGAUCCAAACGAAGGAUGGCAUGAGGUAGGGCAUAUCCUUCGUAGAUAGGGACGGUGUGGCUCACACCAUCACCGGAGUCAAGAACAAUACCUGUGGACAAUAUGAUGGCUUAGUUGAACAGACAAGCGCUAGAUUGGUGUUGUUCGUUUUUUUUAGGAAGCACUCAGAGAUGGUAUUCGUCAGAUCAUUAAAAAGCACUUAGUUGCACUUCCCUUAUUUUAAGCUCAAAUUCUUUGCAGUUAGGUGCACCAGGGCAUUUACCUUUUUUUGUGCUUAGUCUUAUUGGUUAGCCUGCCAACUCAUCUUCUUUAGAAAAAACACAAAGAACAAGAAAAAGUUACCACUAAUUUUUUUAUUUCCAUUGGCAAACAAGCCCCAUGAAUGCACGUAAUACAUAAAAUCCAUUAUCAUCCUUGCACACGCCAUUCCACAAAUUUUAGUGUAAAAAAGAAAUGUUUCAACAUAGAAAAGAAUUCAGUAGUAACCUUUCUAUUUCUUUAUCUUUUUAAAAGGGUGAGUUGGAAACUAAACUAUUAAAAUAGUAAACUAGUGCAUUUAAUCAUAUAGAAUUUGGGGAGAAGGAAAAACUACACACAUAAGCAGCGCCAACAUGCAUUAAGAUAAUUGAUAAUUUAAAGCGAAUAGAGAUGCCUAGACAUACCAGUUGUACGACCACUGGCGUAGAGGGAAAGGACUGCCUGGAUUGCCACAUACAUGGCAGGGACAUUGAAAGUCUCAAACAUGAUUUGAGUCAUUUUUUCUCUGUUCGCCUUAGGGUUUAGAGGGGCUUCAGUGAGAAGCACAGGAUGUUCCUCAGGAGCGACACGUAGCUCAUUGUAGAAAGUGUGGUGCCAGAUCUUUUCCAUAUCAUCCCAGUUGCUAACAAUCCCAUGUUCAAUGGGAUAUUUAAGAGUGAGGAUACCUCUCUUGGAUUGGGCUUCAUCACCUACAUAAGCAUCCUUUUGGCCCAUGCCGACCAUCACGCCAGUGUGGCGGGGCCGGCCCACAAUACUGGGAAAUACUGCCCUUGGUGCAUCGUCACCAGCAAAUCCAGCCUUAUUUAAAAAAAAAGUAAUAUUAGCGGAGGCUAAGAAAAACAUAAAACAGAGGAAAAAUGAAUGCCUAAAAAUGACAUGAACCAACCUUGACCAUUCCGGUUCCAUUGUCACAAACAAGAGGUUGGAUAUCCUCAGCAUCUGCCAUUUCCUGUUAAUCUGCAGCAAACAUGUAUAUAAGAUAAUUUGAUCUUUCUAACAGCAAUGUAGUACAGUUCUAGAAUUGUUAGCUCAAUGACAAAUUGAAAUGUUUCUGACUUUGGAAAACAAAGGAAAAAUAGGAAACGAGCAUUAGUAACUACAUUUUCCAAAUCUUGAAGGGAAGGCCACUACAGUAAACAAAGCAACUAAACAUCCCACCUAAAACCAACUAAACAUCCAACAAACAGGGAAAGAAGGAAAAUAUUCUCUGAUAGAAAAUUAUAUUCUACUGUAAGACUCCCCUCCACAUUAUAAAUAAAUAUAAAGCAUAAGAUUGUAGCUACAUGUUGGCAUACUAAAUGUCUAUCCUCAAUCAUGUGAAAAAUGUCCAAUAUCAACUACUUGCAUAUGCAACAAAAAAUAAAAGCAUCUGAACAAUAUACAACACAAUUACUUCUAAAAAACUAUUCAUUACCUAUAAUUAUCGGAAUUUUUACACUAACUCAACGAUAAGAACAAACAGCUGCAUAGUAAAUGAUAUAGUGUCAAAUAAAAAGCUGCAGCAGUAAUUUUUCUCACAUUAAGGCACCACUAGAAUAACCAGUUAAUCUCCCAGUUUGAAGGCGUCAUACUCCGGAGACAGGAAGUGUUCUUAGACCACAUGUAAGGUACAUGAUCAAAGCGAUAUAUUCCCUAAAAAUAAUACAACAUCUUACAUUGAACUUGACACAGUUCCUUGCCGCUUCAUAUCAGAAGUUCAGAAAUCACCUAGAUUGUAAACACAUUUACGCAGUGUUGGAAACGUCUAAGGCUCUAAGCGACUCAUUCUUAAUUCACCCGAUCAUCUCCUUUUCACUCACAUCUCAUUCCAAUGACAAACUUUGCCACACACAUAAGUGAAAAAGCAUUCAACACAAAGAACUCACAAAUUUAAACUAGUCAGCAAGCCAUCAAUCAUUAAAGCACCAUAAAGACACCUCCAAUCUCACAAUCACAAUGUCGUUGCCUCAAUAAAGCAUCAAAAUGAAGCCUAAAACAUUACCAAAAAGGGAGUUGCCGAUAAAUUACUAAUAACAUAGCAUCGAAUUCCCUAAUCGAACCAUAAAACCCACGAUUCAUCAAAAAGAGGAUCCUAACAACCGAUCUAGCAACGCAUUUACUGAACUACACAUGAAAUCAUCGGAUGACACCAUCCAUGCGCUUCGAAAUUAGUAUCGACAUCACAGAGAGAACCCUAAGAACCGAUCUAGUAACGCAUUUACUAAAUUAAACAUAAAAUCAACGCACGACACCAUACAUUUUCUUUUAAAUGAGCAUCAAUCACCAAAUCCAUCAGAUCUAUCAAAAACUAACUAGAUCUACAACACUUUAUUGAAAAAAGAGAGAGUAAAAGUAACGAUCAAGAGAAGAAACGAUCUCCGACCUCUUUGAAGGAUCCGAUUAGGGCACGAUCAGUUGCUUUCGUCGACGAAGAAGGAGAAGGAGGAGCGCCUCCGCCGCCGAAACAAAGAGAAAUCGAAAUGGUAAAGAGGGAGAAAUGGAAAUGUAAAGAGGGGAAAGCAGUGAGAGGCCCAAUUUAUACCCCUGUAAAAUUUCAGAGAAACCACUGAACUAUAAUAUAUUUGGAAAAAUUGUCGGGUCCCUCGAAAUAGUUGCCGAAGAUCCUCAGCUAGAUAUUUUUACCACUUUUAUUUAAUUAAUUUUGUUGAAUUAUUUUUUAAUCAAAUUAAAAAUGCAUUAAGUAAAAUAAAAUGUAGUUGUAUAAGCUAAAAAAUGUUUAUAAUAUUUAAAUUUAGCAAAGUUAUCAUACAAUAAGAUAAAAUUACUAAUUUACGAGAAUCUCAACUAAACGAAAGGAAAAAUAUCGAUGGGUCCACCUAAACAUUUCUAUUGUUGAGGGGUUAGAUGAGAGCGACGUGCCAAUUACAAAUUACAAAUUAGAGGGGGCUUCAUCACCGUCCAAAUUACAAAUCGCUUACUACACGACCGCUCGCGUAAAAUUAUUAUACGGAGAAGCUUUUUUCCUUUAGUCCCACAUCGAAUAGUAGAUGCGAACCGAAGGUGUUGAGGGGUAUAUAAUAGAGAUGCGCUCGUACGAAAAGACUUGCCUUAAACUAAUGAGUAAGGAAAACAAAGCGAGCGGUGAGAGCUGCUCGCCGCGCACAUAAAAAAUUUUAUGCGCACGAAUUUGUGGAGGGGUUAUAGGCUGGCCGGGCGUUGACACUGCUUACUUUGCAGGACUCACCCGUGCGGGCCUCCCAACCCGCCAAAACUACAGCCGAAGUUUUGUACUGAUGUUUUUUUUUGUCAAAUUUAGGUUAAAUAAAAUAGUGCAAGUAUAGGCAAAUUUAAGUUAAAUAAAUUAGUAAGUAAAUCUGACUGUAAUUAGCAUUGGUUUAUAUCAAUUAUAAGCGAAUUUUGAACUGGCUUGCCCUUAUAAGUAUUAGUAUCUUAAUACUGAACAGGAUAUGUUGAACAACUAAGAAGAAAAUUUGAGAAGCCAAUUUUUGUAUGCUUAUAUUUCUAUAUGCGUUUUGUUUAUUAGUAUUAGAUGAGUCUUAAUUUUGUUUAUUAGUAUUAGAUAGUCUUAAUAUCAAACGAGUUCUAAUAAUAUUAGAUCUUUAUUAGUAUUAGAUGAGUCUUAAUACCAAACGAGUUCUAAUAAUGUUAGACCAAACGAGUCAUAAUAAUGUUAGACAGCCGUCAAUCCAAAACUAGCUUUGAUGUUGUUACGGUUAAGCUUUUUUUCCUUUUCAACUUCUGUGUUAGCAUUAGUAAAUGGGACUCGUAAAAAAGCGAUCAGGGAUUGGGAUAUAAACCAAGGACCAAACCGAAAAGGCCCAAUUCGGAAUCCUACGAGCCCACGCGACCAGGCCGGUAGGCGGUAGACGUAAACCUCGGCCCGAACUGGAACGGGUCGGGUCGGGUCAAACCCGGUCCCACCGAAACUGAAGCGAAACUCAUGCUCACUCGCUUCCGCGUGGAGGGAGAGGGAGAACGGAGCUCCAUGGCGGAGAACGACGAUCUCGGGAUCGAACGCACCGCUUCCAUUCAAAACCCUACCAAACCCUCAUCUUCUAUCGGCGCUAGGGUUCGCGCAACCCACGACGACGACGAAGAUGAGGUUAGGGUUUCUCUUCGCCCCGUUCUCCCUCAUUCCUCAUCUGAUUUAAUCCAUCAGGUACGUGUAUGAAUUUAUACUAAUUUGAGUACUAAUUUCGCCGUUGGAGGAGUCUGUGAUUGCUAGCCCGUGCUGUUCAUUUGCAUUCUCUGUAGUUUGCUGCAUAGGAUUCAAUCUCUUCGUUUUCUAUGUGCUCUUGAACCGCUUAAAGGGGCCUGUUAGGAUGUUGAAACAAUUCAUCAAGUGAUAACAUGUGCUGCAUAUUUUGUGAUUGCUACAUAUACUGCGAGGUCCUUGUAAUUAUGAUCACUUUGGGUAAUGUAUGAUAUGGUAACAAAUAAAAUGACAAGAGGAUCAUGUCAAGCAUGCCAUUCUAAUGUUGUACGCGGCUUGUCGUACUCUCCAUGGCCUUGAGUAAACUAGAGAUAUUAGCUGAACAAGAUGUUCGCGCAUCUAAACAGACCCUAAACACCUUGACCAUGUCCCUUUCAAAUAUGAGCUGGGCAUGUAAGUCUGAGUUUAUGUACCGUUGCAUUGAAGUCACUAGAGGAAGUUAAGGGGAGUGGAAUGAUAGCUAUGUUAGGGAACUUACACUCAUAUUGGAUUUCAAGUCAAGGCAAAAGCUUAACCCAUCAGUUUCGUUCCAGUAACAUAUAUUAAAGCCAUUGCUGUUAUUUCAUGUUCGACUGAAUUUUCACCUGUGAAUGCCUAUACACUAGAUAUGACCAAUGAUAACGCAACAAGAGAGCAGGAAGCAGAAAGGCACUAUAGCCACCAAGCAUGUUAAGGAAGUGGGAAUUUCUUUCCAUUUUUUUCUGUCUAUGCCGAAAAACCGCAAAUCAAACAUGUGUUUUCCGUAAGUUACUGUCUUGUAACCUUUUGCGAAGAUGUGGGGGAAGAGUUUAGAUGCUUGAUGUUCCCGUAGUUAUUAGCUUGUUUAUCUAAUUUUACUAUUUUUUCUUAUUUAAUUGCAAACUUUUGCCUACAUAAGUUCUAUGUUGCCACAGACCCAUAUUACAUGAUACUAAAAUUUUAUAAUGGCAAUAGGAGGCCGCGCGAGCUCUAUCAGUUAUGGACAGUUUUCAUCAGCCAUGGUUGACUGGAGUGGAAUUGCUUGACGAUGCAAAUCGGAAUAAACAUGUUCUUCCCACCGGACUUGAAGGGUAUUUUGAAUGUAAUUUGUUACCUGCAAAUGAAAUCUUUGUUUUACAACAACUAAUACUGGAAUUAGUUGCAUUUACAUUAAAGUUUUAAGUGAUUUCUCUGAAAUUAUGACUUGCCAGAAUCGAUGUUCUUCUUGGAGGUGGGUUGCGUGAGGGUCAGUUGAUAGAAAUAGCUGGUCCAUCUUCUUCUGGUAAAACCCAAGUAAGAUUGCACAUGAUUCUUUUUUGUGCUAUGUCAUUAAUCCCCUAGUUGUCAAUGCAAGCUGGACAGGUGAUUUAUAGUAAAUUUGGUUCAUUAAAUCCACAGCCGUUGCAAAUGCAGGUUUGCUUACAUUCAGCUUCAUGCAUUGCAGACAAGGGUUCUGUUAUGUUCUUGGACACUUGUAAUUCCUUUUCACCAAACAGAAUAGCAUGCAUGGUUAAUCAAUUUUCUGGUCCCCUGUUCAAGGAGGUAGAAUCCUUGUCUUUUUCAGUCUUGUUGUUUAAUGUUGCUCUAGGUCUCAUAAUUAACGUUAGCAUUAAUCUUGGUUUGUUGCAAAAUCAAGAAUUAGCUAAUAAGGAUCAUAGAAAGAUGAAACUCUUCUUCUAAUGUUUUGAGUAGUCUGCAAUUUUCUUGUAUUCUCCUGAUUAUUAGCUUUGGCUGUUAGGCAAAAGAAAGAAGGCUCGAGAGGAUUAUGAGCAGUAUACUCUGUCAGCCAAUAUAUGAUAUAUUCGAGCUUUUGGAUACACUGCAUCAGCUAGAAUCAACUUUAAAGCAUACGGUUUUUAUCCAAAAAGAGUUGUGAUUUACAAGUUUUACUAUCUUCCACACAUCUUUGAGAAUUUGUUCUAAUGAUUUAGGUAAAAACUGGAGGCUAUAAGAUAUGUUUGCUUAUUAUUGACUCAAUCUCAUCUUUAAUCGCGCCAAUUCUUGGAGGGAAGAGUCCACAAGGUAUAAACCUUGUAUGUUUUACUUGUAAAAUGUUGUUCAUCUUUCGAUUAUAUCAGAACCUAAUAAAGUUUGUGCACAACAUGAGUUCUUCUAUCCUCAAUAGAAAGCCUACUUUCCUUCAUAGCAGUAGUGCAUUAUGGGAUAACAUGUGUUAUAUCUUUAGAUUGGUUUUUUGAUCUUUGAUUUAGCUGGACAAGUGUGCAUCACAACUAAUCGUGUCCCUGUUUCCUUAAAUAAAAGUACAGGAAGGUUGUUGAUGGUAUCUGCCGGAAUUGUUUUAAAGAAGUUAGCGCAUGAAUUCAAUCUAGCUGUACUGGUAAGUGCACAGAGGUAUGAAAUUUGAAGCUUGAUAUUACAAAUUUAAUAUAUGUUCUUUUUUGCUUGGAAGCUUUAUGUUAAAAAAAUUCAUGUUAGGUGUAGCACUGGUUAGUUGAAAUUUAAUUUAACUAAAUACUGUCCCAUUUGAUCAUAUUCCAAAUAACAAAAUCUGGCUAGCCAGGAAAAGGCUUUCUUAACUAAGUUACCUAAAUGAAAGAUUGUUUUCCAUUUCUCAUGGAGCAUAUCAUAGGAAGUUUCUAGCCUGUUUCUCUUACUAAGGGCAGCUGGAACUUCUGUAAUUAUUUUAAUUACUGUCUUUAUAUUGACAUGUUUUCCAAAAUCUUCCAGCAGUAGCAAUAGCAGAAACUUUAUGUUGGACCUUAUGCUUUUGGGAUUUGAAGGCUUGUUUGAGCUUACUUACCAUAGCAAAACCUCCGUUUGCUAAAUGCCUAGCUACCGUUUUGCGUAGUAGAGAAGCUGUUUGAGAAGCCAAGCCAAACAGUAAAUCCCUACAUUCUAAUUGGAGAAUUACUGCUGCUGUUUUCCAUGAUUUAACCUGCGCAUUAUUUUCUUUUCAAAAGAAUUGAACAUUGGGUAAAAAAGCUUUCCUUUUCUCUACUAAGAUGUCCUAAUUAGUACCUCUCAUUUGGUACAUAUUGGUGAAGUCAAACUCUUGAGCUACUUGUUAUUUUCUGUACUUCCAGCUUUAAGACAACCAAUCAUGAGUGUAUUUGUUCUUUCUCAACUCAGGUGACCAAUCAUAUGGUUGGUGGAGAGGGAGGAAUCAUAAAGCCUGCUCUUGGUGAGAGUUGGAAGAACAUUCCCCAUGUACGCCUUGUGGUCUCCCGUGAUCAACAGAGCAAUGUUUUUACAGCAACUGUACUAAAACACACAAUGAGGGUAGCGUACUAUAUUCAUGUUUCAGAAUUUACUUGUAACACGGAUAUAAAUUAUAGCCAAAUGAAGAACCAAUCAAAGAAUCAUAGGAUUUUAAACAUGCUGAUAUUGCACUUAUAUAAUGUCCCUAUAGCAGCAUGUUUUUGAUUUCGAAUAUUGCAACUCUGGGGUAAAACCCCCCCCCAAACUGUGCUUGUAUGUUCUUUGCUGACAAUUUGCCAUGUGUCAGAGUUUGCAAGGAAAAAAGUACACAAUGUUGACUAAUCUUUAGUUUAACUUAAGGAGCAUUGGAAGAUUAGAAGUUACGAAUGUUUCCUUUCUCGAUCAUUUAGGGAUCAUCUUUAUUCUAUUAACAAGUCACUUAACAAUUAUCCAUCAUCAACUACGAUUUUGGAUGCCACAACAAUUAUUGAUCAUCAACUACGAUUUUGGAUGUCAUAAGAACUAUCAAUCAUCAACUACGAUUUUGGAUCAUUUAGGGAUCAGCUGUAUUUCAUUAACAAGUAUCAUAACAAUUUGUGGUUGUUAUGCCCUAUCUAAAUAUAUUAGGCGCCAAUUUUUGGACAUUAGUUCACUUUAUACUUGUCAUCUCUUUUUUGUAUUUUGUAAUAUACUCUGUCUAGCCCGAGUUCUCAUCUUCUGGUAAAAUGUCUGCAAGAUUAUCUUCAGGAUAUUCCUGUGAUGAGUUGUGCAGCUUCCUUUUGGAACUUUUCUUCCUUGCUGACUAUUUGCGCAAAUGUACAAGCUAGACGAUCGGUAUACUACUUAUUCACAUUUUAGCUCUAUUCUGUGGUCAGAAUUACUUAUCUUAUCUAGACCAAAUUCACCGAGUAUAUGGCUUAGAUCAACUCCGUUUCUAGGGCUUCUUCCGUAUCAGAUGCUUCCAAUCUCUUGUAAUCCCGUUGCUUAUUUCAAGUGCAUGCACUAGACCUUGUAGAAAUAGAUAACAAAAUUGUAACACACUGAAGCAUCAAGUUGUUACUCGUCUUUUUCUCGAGUAUUCCUUUCUUCUAAUGCUCUCACUCUGCUUUUCUAUUUAUUUUUAUAUUCUCAGGCUUCUGGUCGCACCGCAAAAUUUGUGAUCCACAACUGAACAGAGGCAAGCACUUCUCCGGAUAGGGUGAGGAAGACAAGGUGGCAGGAAGGUGCUGCUAUCCUCAGCUUCUGAUGAGGAGCACGAAAUAUCUCAUGCGGCACUCCCUAGCUGAUUAUUCUUUUCCUUUUGUUUGAAUGCUAACUGUUUUUGCUUCUCUAGCUUUUGUUUUUUGCACAAAUUGGGGGGGCCAUAAAGCUGGCGAGCUAGUAUCGUUUCAUGAACGACGUACGCAAGAAUCACUGCUAUGGACAAAGAGGAAUCCUUUACUCGUCCUUCGAACGUCCGUUAUUGCAUAUGGUCUUGUGAACUGUGAGGAAAACAUCCAGGAGAGUAGAUAAAGAUUAAACAGCUUAUUUUGUAUUGAGAUUACCCUUGUGUUGAGGAACCUUUUGCUUUGUCUUCGAGGAGGGUCGGAAUCUUUGUGUUUGGACAUUUUUUUUGUUCCUGUGUGAUGAGGUGGCCAAUAAUUUACCCUCUGAAUGAUAGCAGCCCAAUAGGAACCUGCCAUGUCAGACAGACAGAGUUGUUGGAUGAUAUGGUAUGGAUGUUACAUCUAUGAGUGUCUAGACCUUUUCAUGAUGGUCACUGAUUGAUCCGGGCGUGAAAUCCUGCCACUCCGACCGUCCAUUUUUCGAUGGUUGCGAUCGCUUGCGCAAGAGCUUUGGGUGGCCUGAUGUGGAUUGCCUUGUCCUUUGUAUUUUGCUAGUACGAUUCUAAACACAAGGAACAUGUUUUCGGUGGUCCAGGGGAACGUCGAUAAUGAACUGUGUACUGGGCGGCAAUUACAAACAGAUUAAGAAUACUUUUGUAGUUUUCAAAACGUAUACUAUGAAAAUAAUAGCAUAUACAGCUUAAUUGUCUUUUAUAGCAUGAUAAAAUUUGAUUGAUUUGUCGUAGCUCUCCCUCCUACACAUACUGGUUACGAGGAUGUAUAGUAGUGUGCACAUUGGCCGGUUCAGCAAGGUCGCAGCGGAUCUUCGUAAAAUAAACCUAACCACAGUAUACGAUAUGCACUUUGUAAACCCAAAUUGCAGCAUUUCGGUUCUGUUUGGUUGGUUUAUUCAGCUUUGGAUGUAAAACUCAAUUUCGUGUGGUAUAUACAUCAAAGUAAAUAUGACGGAUCUACGAACACCACUCAACCAAUCAAACUGUCACAGUGCGGUUACUUCUGCUCAUUCAGUCGUCGACUCGUAGAAUUGAAUGAAGUUGCUAGCAAAAGUGAGUUGAACCGACACAAAUGAGUCGGCUCCGUUUGGUACAUCAGUUUUUUUUGGUACAUUUGUUCGGUCCAACAGUAAACUACGUGUCGUCGCAGCAGCCGAGUCUGCAUAACCAGCACAACAAGAAACUUAAUGGCGAUUAAGAAAGGUUAUCCUCUCCUAACACGAGUCUAUUAACCCUAAUGGGACACUUAACCUACUGCGGUGAUGGAUCUUGCCACUCCUGUGGAUCAAAUUGGAAGACACUAUCGUCUUGGAGGGGCCAGUCUAUUCUCAAUCUUAUCAUUGUUUUCAAUCCUGAGGAGAAUAACUUCCGGAUUUGCAAAAAAAAUAACAUUCGACUAAAGAUGAUGGGAGAAAGAUUGGACGGUACGACUGUUUACAAAAAACUGGGGCAAGUCUGCAACAUCUUGUCAAAUGAUGAAUUGUCAAAAGUACUACUUUUGUCGCUAAUAUUGUUGAACCUUCUGGUGAUUGAUUGUGCUACUCAUGUGGAUCAAAUAUGAAGAUAUCAUUGCCUUGCAGUGGGUGGUCUACGCUCGAUCUUAUCAGUAUCGUCAAUCCCUGCAACUGAAAGAAAAAUAACUCCCGAAUUUCAAAAAAGAAUGACAUUCAACUGUAGGUGAUGGGAGAAAGAUUGGACGGCAAAACGGUUCACAAAAUGGUGGGGCAAUUCUGCAACAUUUCUGCAACAUCCUGUCAAAUGAUGAAUUUUCAUGAGUACUACUUUCACCGCUAAUAUUGUUGAACCUCCCAGUGAUUGAUUGUGCUACUCACGCGAAUCAAAUCGGAAGACAUUAUUGUCUUGGAGUGGGUGGUCUACGCUCAAUCUUAUCAGUAUUGUUAAUCUCAGCAACUGAAAGAAAAAUAACUCCCAAAUUUCAAAAAAGAAUGGCAUUCAACUGUAGGUGAUUAGAGAAAGAUUGGAUGAUAGAAUGAUUCACAAAAUGGUGGGGCAAUUCUGCAACAUUUUGUCCAAUGGUAGAUUUUCAAUAGUAAUAUUUUUGUCGCUAAAAUUGAUGUUCUUAUAAACUGAAAAUUGUUAACAUAAAUGAUAUAAAUAGUUUCNCUGCUGACUUACUCGUCUUCAUUGGCGUGACACUGUCUAUAAAUGAAACUACAUGUAUGGUGUGCUUUAACUCAAAAUGUAGGUUUCGACUUAUUUGGUUGGUUUGUCUUGGCUUAACGAAGUUAAACCCAAAUGUUUCACGUAUGCAUAUGAGACCAAUCCAAAUAAAAUGCUUCUAGGCAACGCUGGAACGACUUGGCCGGUUACACGUGUGAUGAUAUGUAGGAGCAUUGGUCAUAGGCAUCCUCCCUCUCGAUGCUGUUUAGUUAGUUUAAAAUAGUAGACUCGUAGAAUUGAAUGAAGUUGCUAGUAAAAGUGAGCUGAACCGACACAAAUGACUCGGCUCCGUUUGGUACAUCAGUUUUGUUCGGUCCGACAGUAAACUACAUGUCGUCGCAGCAGCCGGGUCUGCAUAGCCAGCACAACAAGAAACUUAAUCGCGAUUAAGAAAGGUCGUCCUCUCCUAACACGAGUCUAUUAACCCUAAUGGGACACUUUACCGACUGCCGUGAUGGAUCUUGCCACUCCUGUGGAUCAAAUUGGAAGACACUAUCGUCUUGGAGCGGCCAGUCUAUUCUCAAUCCUAUCUUUGUUUUCAAUUUUCAGAAGAAUAACUUCCGAAUUUGCAAAAAGAAUAACAUUCCAUUAAAGAUGAUGGGAGAAAGAUUGGAAGGUAGGACUGUUUAUAAAAUAGCGGGGCAAGCCUGCAACAUCUUGUCAAAUGAUGAAUUGUCAAAAGUACUACUUUUAUUGCUAAUAUUGUUGAACCUCCUUGGUGAUUGAUUGUGCUACUCAUGUGGAUCAAAUAUGAAGAUAUCAUUGUCUUGGAGUGGGUGGUCUACGCUCAAUCUUAUCAGCAUCGUCAAUCCCUGCAACUGAAAGAAAAAUAACUCCUGAAUUUCAAAAAAGAAUGACAUUCAACUGUAGGUGAUGGGAGAAAGAUUGGACGGCAGAACGGUUCACAAAAUGGUGGGGCAAUUCUGCAAUAUUUCUGCAACAUCCUGUUAAAUGAUGAGUUU